UCACAAGCACCUCGCUGGUCUACAUACUGAACUCGAUUGCUCUAACUGAAUCCAGUAGUAGAGAGUCUGUGCAAAAUGGGUUGUAGGUUGUUUGUUCAUUAUGACAAAUGAAUGAGCUCGAAUAUCUGUUUAGCACACUUCAACCAAUUGAAUAUUUGAUACUCAUUACCAUCACUAAAACACUGCUCACUUCGCCAUGCAUCAUCUUCACUAUGUAUCAUAUGCUAUAAUGCUAACAACCUUUAUAUCCAAUCAAACAGUAAAAUAUAAACUAAAAAUUAUUGUCAACACAUAGUACCAAAUGAAUCUUAAAGAUAAUAUGAGAAUUGCAAAUAAAUAAGACGGAAACAUACGGAAAACCAUGUCCUACUGCAGCUGCCCCAGGUCUACAUAGGAUGAAUUCUCAUGAGAAGAAUUAACCUAAAUAACUGUCUACCCAAUUGCUUAAAUUAAUUGUCGGCUAACAUACAGUAUAUUGUGUAUAAUUGUUUGUAACCAGAGCAUAAUUUAUAUAUACUAGCCAGAAAAGUACGUAACAGAUAAAUAGUGAUCGACGGACUAUUUCUGUGAAGAUCCAAAGAACUAAUUGUGGGUCCAUAUCGUAAUCUUUUUCGGCGACCCAUGUUUUGAAUUUAAUAGGGUCCCAAUUUAUUACUCCAACCAAAAGUGAUGGUGAAUAAAAAAUAGCCAGAUUUAAACCGGUAAUUGAAAAAUAGCCACGGGUUCAAAAAAAUUGAGUUUUUGCCAUUUUUUCAUGUAACGAUAAAAUUUAAACAAGAAUACUCUUAAAAAUUCGGAAAAAAUGAUUAUGCUACAGUUUGAUUUUUCUACAUAUGAGAUUCUACUAUAUAUGUUAGAAUCUCAUAAUGUGUUGGAGUUCUAACAUAAUAUACUGGAAGUUUAUACGCAGAAGCUCCAUAAUACAGCAUAUUAUGCUGGAAUUUUUCGUGUGCUGGAGUUCCAACAUAAUAUGCUGAAAGUUUAUACGCAUGAGCUUUGUAAUUCAGCUUACUAUGCUGGAACUUUCUGUGUUUCAGCAAAAUAAUGACUACUUUUCAAUGACUUUGCAAACAUUAGCUAUUUUUGACUUACAAAUAUGAAAAUUGGCUAGCCCAUAUUAUUUUAAUCAAAAGUGAACAUUUUAUGGGCCUAUAGUACAAAUAAAGUGGAGUAAUUUGUGUAUUUUACCUUGAAGUCUUGAACUUAACAAUAUAAUAAGUAAUGAUAGAAGACAAGGGAUCCAUGCUACAGAAUGUAGAAUUGCAAAAAAUAUCAGGAUAUGGGCAUCAGAGAGGGGAAACAGAGGUUCCCCAUACAAACCCAAGCCCAAAGAUCAGUCAAUUGAAAGACCUAGUGACUGACAGCUUCCAAGUGAGAAAAUGCCCAAAAAAUUUAUUCUGGACACUUGUGCUUGCACUUUAAUUUUGGAUCAGUGGGACCCAUAUCCCAUGUGUGGCCAUCUGGUUCAAGCCAGUUCAGUCAAAAAGACAGUGGACACUGUUUUCUUACCCUUUUACUACUAUAUUGAUCCAAACUGGAGGAGGAUCUUAUCUGCCCAUGUCAAGGGAGUAAGUGGAAUCUAUGAUCAGCAAUUUGUUAACGUGGACAUUGUACACCCAACAACAAAUUGCGUUGUUUUGACUGUGUCUAGUUUCCGAUUGAAUACAAAACAUAUACCCCGUCUUUGUUCCACCGUAUGUGAUAGUACUAUUUUUUAUUAUUAUUUAUUCGUUUAGAAGGGGAAAAAAAGUAAUUUGGCGUACAAAGCAUUCGGUGUUCACGUAGGAUUUGAGAAAAGGUCAUACCCUUAAAAUAUCAUGUAGAUAGUUUACCCUAAUACAAACAUUAAUAAUUGCACGAUUUGAACCCAUGGUAAAGUUUAAAAAAGAAUGCUUACUUCUUUGUAAUUGGACAUAAUAGAUAAUAUUUGACGGGCAAGAGAGUUACUCUUAUUUAGAAAAUAGAGGUAAAAACUUACCUAGGCGUUUAUACUAAUCAAAUAAAUACAUAACAUGUGUUUGAAUAUAAGUUUUUCUAAGUUGAUCAUGGUUAAUUAAUAUAUAUAUUUCUAUCUCAUUAAAUUAUUUAAUCAUAAUUAAUUAUAUAAGUUAAUGUAUAAACAUGGUGCAAGUAAUUUUUACUGAAAAAAUGGAACACCCUUUAUAUCAUUUUGUCAAAUAAAAACAAGCUCGUUGGACCCCAUAAAUAGACUGAUGAAGUGAAAGUAUUUACGUAUUGCUAUUGAAUUGUAUGAAAGCUUUAGGGAUGGAAUGUCCCUUCUUCCCAUUUGUCCUUCAAGAAUCUUGAUUACUUUUUCCUUCCUUCACCUGUCACUUUCGUUUUAACAACUGUUGGAAUAAAAAAAAUUGAGGUAGCCAUGAAUUUAGAAUUUGAACUAUAUAAGUUUAAUUUUUAAGGUUUUUAAAACUGAACCAACCGUAUUUUUAAAUUUAUGGGUUCAAACCUAUCAAUUAUAAUAAUUUUAGUAAAUUUUUACACAUAAAUUUUUUCGCAUAAAAAAUAAUGGAUUCCGAAGAAGCCAAAUGAGAAGUAGUACUUUCUAAUUUAUUAUUUGUCUUUUUUCAAGCUCUUGAAAGUCAUGGAGUGCACGACAUAGGGACCUUUGAUGUACUUGAGCAAAAGAGCAGUGUGCCAACUUCAGCAACUUUUCUCACGCGCCCAAAAAAAAGAAACUUAAAGGCAAUGUUUAUAAUUUAGAAAAUCAACCGGUUAUUUUAAAAUACUCCCUCAAUCUCAUAAUAUGUGGUGUGAUUCUCUUAUGCACCCCUAAAGAAAGAUUAGUUUUUGGCUACUUUACCCUUAUUAAAUAUUUUCUCAAUUUAUGUAUCAUCUCUAUCAAUGACAUUAUCCAUAUUUUUACUAAAUGUGAAUGCAAUUGAUUAUUAAGGGUAAAAAAGAAAAAAUAUAAUCAAUUUUGUCUUGAACUUCUAAAAUGACAAAUAAUUUGAAACAACUAUUUUUAGUAACCACGACACAUAAUAUGAGAAGGAAGGAGUAAUUAGUUUUCAAAGUUUGUGAUUUGUAAAAACCUAAUAUAUGUUUCAAAUAUUGAAGUUCGUAUUUUCGAAAAAUUAAAGAAUUGAGUUUUGAAGCCACAUCGAAAAUUAAAUGCAUUGGUCAUAGUAUCACAAAAACUUAAAAUAUCUUUUUGAAUGAUAGCAUUAGUUUCAAAUCGGAAUUGUAUAUAUACCAGCUCCAAAAUACUUAACAGGUGUUGUAUAUACCACUAAUGUGAUGAUACUUUUUGUUUCAAAAGUUAAUUUACAUGUAAAGAAGAAACAAAUAUUCCAUGACCAAAUGAAUUAUGAACUAAACUGAACGGAGUAUUGAUUGUUUAACAAAAUAUAAUUUAGAACUAGUUAAAAUUUUGGAUUUUACUCUACACUAUCAACCCUUGUAUUUCUUUUAUUUUUUUUCCCUAUCUCUUAAAUCAGCCGAGUAUUUAAGAAUAAAAUAUUGGCAUCCUCUUUAACUUUUAAAAAACAAAAUAGAAAAAUAUGAAGGUAGAGUUGGAUUAAAAGCAUUUCAUAUUGAUUGGCUAUUAUAAACUUACUUCCGUGCAAGAAAUUGAAUGGAAGAGGAAGAUGCAUCAUAUUACCUAAUAUCCAACAGCAAUAUUCUAAGCAUCGUAGGCUCGUUUGAUUAGAAAAGUUUCUGAAAAAAAGUUCCCAAAAAACGGAAUAUGUUUAAACCAAAUUAACCAAAAGGGAUUUAAGCUGUAGUUUCGUAAUUAUUAUUUCACCAGAGACGGCGCUACAUAAUUCGAAGGAGGUUUAACUAAAUCACCUUUGUCAAAAAAUUGUUGUAGAUUUUUUAAGUUUCGUUGUAAGAAUUUCUGACUUCAACAUUGAAUUUUUGCAUACACUACUUAGGUGUGAUUUGUAAGAUUUUUUAAGUUUCGGCCUGUCAUGUUAUAUGGAACUGAAUGUUGGCCGGUAAAGAACUCACACAUUCAGAAGAUGAAAGUAGCAGAGAUGAGGAUGUUGAGGUGGAUGUGCGGGCAUACNNNNNNNNNNNNNNNNNNNNNNNNNNNNNNNNNNNNNNNNNNNNNNNNNNNNNNNNNNNNNNNNNNNNNNNNNNNNNNNNNNNNNNNNNNNNNNNNNNNNNNNNNNNNNNNNNNNNNNNNNNNNNNNNNNNNNNNNNNNNNNNNNNNNNNNNNNNNNNNNNNNNNNNNNNNNNNNNNNNNNNNNNNNNNNNNNNNNNNNNNNNNNNNNNNNNNNNNNNNNNNNNNNNNNNNNNNNNNNNNNNNNNNNNNNNNNNNNNNNNNNNNNNNNNNNNNNNNNNNNNNNNNNNNNNNNNNNNNNNNNNNNNNNNNNNNNNNNNNNNNNNNNNNNNNNNNNNNNNNNNNNNNNNNNNNNNNNNNNNNNNNNNNNNNNNNNNNNNNNNNNNNNNNNNNNNNNNNNNNNNNNNNNNNNNNNNNNNNNNNNNNNNNNNNNNNNNNNNNNNNNNNNNNNNNNNNNNNNNNNNNNNNNNNNNNNNNNNNNNNNNNNNNNNNNNNNNNNNNNNNNNNNNNNNNNNNNNNNNNNNNNNNNNNNNNNNNNNNNNNNNNNNNNNNNNNNNNNNNNNNNNNNNNNNNNNNNNNNNNNNNNNNNNNNNNNNNNNNNNNNNNNNNNNNNNNNNNNNNGAGAGCGACCUAAGAAGUAUUGGGGAGAGAUAAUCAGACAGGACAUGACGCGACUUAGGAUUAAUGAGGACAUGGCCCUUGACAGGGAAUUAUGGAGGUCGAGCAUUAAGGUUGUAGGUUAGGGGAAACUUGUGAAUAUUUCUACAACACAAUAGAGUGAGACUAGCCAGUUAGGAGUUAGACUAAGAAUGUCAUUGGUCGUCUAUUGAUACAGGGCUUUACCUGCUAGUUGUACUAUACCAACCAUCUAUUUCGUAUUUCGUAUUCUGUAUUUCAUAUCUCUUAUAUUGCUGGUAUUUUAUUAUGCAUUUUUAUGGUACUAAUAUAUCGGCUCUUGUUGCUUUUUUGAGCCGAGGGUCUCCUGGAAACAGUCUCUCUACCCUUCGGGGUAGGGGUAAGGUCUGCGUACAUAUUACCCUCCCCAAACCUCACUUAUGGGAUUAUAGUGGGUCGUUGUUGUUGUUGUUGUUGUUGCAAUCUCAACUUAAGUUCUUUUUAUGGUUUUUCUUCUUCUGGUAUUCAUGGACUCAUUGGCAAAAUGUUAGUAUAAAAAGAAUCUAAACUAUAAUCUUAUCCAAGUGACAAUGAAAGCAGGAUUAUAUGUCGUUAUCAUAUUUGGCCAAUUCGUUUGACCUUUACCCAAAACGUACAUGGAAGGCAAAAUCGAUAGAGAAAAAACAAAAAGCAAAAGAAAAGAAAAAACUUUUGCCUUUUGUAUUUUUUCUAAUGGUCACCAAAACAUAGCCAGCUGCAUCGUCUGCUGUCUGCUGUUUAUUAUCAUAAAUAAAUAUACGUUUAUCAAAUGAAAAUAUAUCUCUCUUUAAAGCUAAUAAUACUACUAUUACUACUUAUAAUUUAUUGAAAACAAGAUCACCCUCAUUGCCGUUUGGAAUCUGGAGAACUCCUAGUAAUUUAAAGUAAAAAAUUUAUCUGCGUACGCGUUUACACCAAUUUAAUAAAUACAUGACACAUGUAUUUAUAUAUAUAUUUUUAUCACUAAAUCAUAAUUAAUUUAUACAUAGUCUUACUGUAAGGGCCCGGUAGGCCAUAUUAAAAAAAAACCUUUUUCGGAAAACUUUUGCUUUUUCGGAAUCUGUGUUUGGCCAUGAAAAUUUCACCUGAAGUUAAAUUUCGGAAUUUUUCAAAAAUUUGAAUAAUUCCAAAAAGUUUUUUUUUCAAAAUUUCAUUAUAUCACUCACAAAAAUUCAAAAACAUCUUUAAAUUGUAUUCAUAUCCAAACACAACUCUCAUUUUCCUAUAUCAUUUUCACAUGAUUUUUUUAAAAACUUUUUUCCAGAAUUUCACUAUUUUUAUGUCCAAACGCCCACUAAGCUUAAUUAGUAUAGCUUGUUGUAAAAAAUGAAUGCGGGUAAAUUUUUAUCGUAAUUUAAUGAAUUUUCUUAUCCUCACUUUGAAUAUUCUGAUUUUAUAAUAAUGUCUCAUUAAGAAGCAUUAUUGAUAUUCCUACUUUUCGGCGUUAAUGACCCCACUGAGAUGUAUCAAUGUAUACUAAAUUGAUCUUUUGUUCCCUUAUUACAUUCACUGAUGACUCAUCACUCAUGACCUGGUAUCUUGGGUUUUUUUGAAGAAAAGCAGCAAUCAGUCACAUAAUUACAAAGACAGAGAAACACAAGUUGCAAUGGUUUGGAUCAAUUUUCAUGUUAGCUUUUGGGUGCCAGACAUUGCAUCGAGAUCGUAGGAUUUAAUUAAAAAUUUCUCAACUUUCUAUUUCGAUGAGAAAAGAAUCGUUAAUCACUAGAGAUAUUUUUCUUAAUCACAUUGAGAAUGGAUCUGUUCUUUACCUAAAAAAUAUAUCUUUUUCUUGAAUACCUUUUCUGCUUGACAAUGAUGUUGGUAAGGUCAGCUUGUGUAUCUAAAUUUUCUUUUCUUUUCUUCAUUCAGUAUUGUAUUUGUAUUGGAAUCCAUUUAAUUUGAAUUCACCCAGAAGUUCCAUUAAAAUGGAAAAGUGCUAUCUAUCAUAAAAAAUUUCUACUGUCAAAGCUUGAACUCGAAAUCUUUAAUUAAGGGUGAAUUGAUUUGAUCAAUCGUGUCGCAAUCCUUAAUUAUGCGCAUCUAAAUUAUUGCAGUUGUUACUGUUUGACCAAAAAAGUGUGAAACCUUUUAGUUAAACUAAUUAAUGAUGGAUUAAAAGGCGAAUCUUAGUUGAACUUAAUAAAUUCUAGACCAAAUAUAACAAGAUAUUCGCGGGAUGAACAGUGUUCAAGAGCAUUAAAUAAUGGUUUUAAUAAUCAAUGAUUGACAACGAAUAUGAUAACAUGAACAUGUAAUAAAUGUAAAUAAUAGCAGUAAGCGUAAUAAGAAAGGAUCUACCACCCAAUUAUUGUAUGGUUGGGAUGUUCCUUUCUUCUAUCAACGAUGUGAAAAGGUGAGAAAUGAAAGAUGUAUAUGGAAUCUUUGGAUCUUGUGAACAAAGAUUGAACAACGUGUGCUUGAAUAACGUAAUCAUUAAACAAGACAACUUUUGUAUAUUCUCUUUAGUCAACCUUUACAAUGUGCUCUUAUCAGAAAGUCUCCCCUCCUUUUUGUUCUCUAUCUUUUGCUAUUUAUAAUGGAUGUUCCCAAGAAACCCUAAAAAGUACAGUAUAAGGAAUAUUGCCGGUAUCCUUUUCAAAGUCAGUCCUACCGUUAUUAUUGCAACUUCAAUUAUGCGUCCUAAACAAUGAUCCUUACGAGGGCGACCCCUUCGUUAUAAUGCCGUAGUUGACCCCGUGGCACGACUUAUCUGCUUGACCAAUAUAGUUACAUGCAUCUUCUAAAUAUUACCAGAUACCGGUAACUAUUCAAGUUGAUUUACACAAAUAAAAAAGGAUUAUUUAGCCUUAUCUUUUUUCUUUUAUUUGUCUCUGACCCCUAGUCUCUUAUGAUCGUCAUUCCAUGUUUCUAUGUCGAGUAAUACUCUUUGGUGCAAUACAACAACAUCAUUAUUAUUAUUAUUAUUAUUAUUAUUUUGUUGCAAUUUAUUUUGUUUUCAUUUAGUCUUGUUUCGUACACAUGAGUAUUGUCUCCCUGGUAUUUCAAUGUGUAAAAGCAAGUUAUUUCAUUUUUAAUUUUAUAUCACAAAAAUAGUGUAGUCAGAGGAUCGGUAAAAUUUAAACUAUAAAAAGCUUAACUAAUAAUCUAUCGAUCACUAAAUUAUCUCCACGAAGACCCUAAAAUGAUUCUUUACUAUUAAUCUUUUCUUUUUCCUUCAUCUUAAAUGUAAAUAUGAAAAGAAAAGAGGAAAAAGAAGAAGAAUAUUUUGUUUUUACUUGAAGAUUUUUUUUUGGGUUUUAUUCAAUGUUUCAUAUGCACAUUCUAGCCUGAUGAAACCUUGAAGAUUGAAUAAAUGCUGCGGUAUAACUAAUCCACCAAAUUAAUUAAAACAAAGAAAUAGGGUGAGAGAUAGAAAGAAAUGACCGGAAAAAAGAUCAAAUUUAAAAAGAGCGCACAAAUAUUUAUUAUUUGUGGGAGUGGGUCCCUUGACAAGAACAACAAUGCCCAUCCAGCCUUGUAGUAUCCAAUCAGAUCAGGGAACGUGUCCAUCUUUGAUACCGUGUGAGUAGUAGAUAAGAAUCUCAUUUGAAAUAUCUACUACUCCACUAGUUGGACAAAAAUUAGAAUCUCUAUUCUCUUGUACUACUAUCUUUUAUCUGUAAAAUGCACAUGAUAACUGUAAUAUUUUCUUCUUUUGUGAGUUUUAAACUUUAUACAUUGAUCUAUAAAAGCAUAAUCAUUUAAAUUAUAAGAUAAUUAAAAAAAAAGUUAUGUCAGUACAUGUUAAAAUUUACUAAUAAAAAAAAGAUCUUUACGUUUUAUAUAAUUUAAGUACUGUACUUCUCAUUUUAUUCUGCUAAUAGCUUAUUUGGCCAAGCUUCUCACUUCUCCAAAAGUCCUUUUUUGCUUCUUCUUUUUUUCCUCAAUUUGAGGUGUUUGGCCAAGUUUUUUUGGGGGGAAAAAGUGCUUUUGGCUAGAAGCAGCAGCAGUUUUGACCUUACUUUUUAACAAAAAUAUCUUUUAUAAAAUAUUAUAUAUAUCAAAAUAACCUUACUUAGUUUAAACUAUUAAGUAAUAUAAAAUGACUUUUGGAUGAUCUUUCAUAUUUAUUAAAUAAUUUUUUGAUAUAUUUAAAUUAUCUUGAAAGAAUAAAAUACUUUUCAAUUUUAUUUUUAUAUUUUACUUAAAUAAAAUAAAAAACUUAAUUAUUUUCUUUAAUAAUAAAUAUUUUUAAUUAUUUAUGUACUUAUAUAAUAUUAACUAUUAAGCAAAUCUCUUUAUGUCUUUAUUUGUAAUUUGACACAUAAAAUCACUUUUUGAAAAGCUUGGCCAAACAAAUUAUUGCUCAAAAAUGCUUUUCAAAUUGAUUAGUCACACACAAACUGAUUUUCUCCAAAAGUACUUUUCUGAAAAGCAAUUUAAAAGAACAUUUCUCUAAUUAAACUGAUUUUUCUAGCUGGCCCAAACGGGCUAUAAGUAAUGUGGUAGUUGGAAUCUUUUUUCGAGUUAAAAAAUACAGUAGUACUUAUAUAAAGUUGUUGGUGUUUUUUUAUAUUCCGCAAAAUAUUCAACGCCUAUUUGUUUAUAUUUUUUCUAUAACUUAGGCUGUUUAAGAACGGUAUGAUGUUAAUUACUAAGUAGUUUACUUUGGAGGCGAUGUCACAUGUCCUCGUCUAUAUAAAAGGAAAAGGCUGGAAAAAAAUAAAUAUUUCUGUCUUAAACUACCUGAAGCUUGACUUUCGAAGAUAGGAUAAUGCGUUUUGUAUUUAGCAUAGGAUAUAGGUUUUCCAUCUUCAUCGAUGCCAUCCAAUGAUAUAACGAAGAAAUAAAACAAGUGAUAAGCGGGAAAAUAAGAAAAGACUAUUCAUUACGUAAAUACAUUAUAAUCUGACAGUGUCGUAACAAGUAUAGUAUUGGUCUCUUUCUUUUGCCCAUAGUGUUAGGGCCGUAACUCCAAGUGCCAAACUACCAGUAUUUUAUACUUUUAAAAUUUUUCUAAACCUUCUUGAAAGUUCAUACUUAUUUUUUUUCUUAUAUUUGAAAUUUACUGGUUCAAUUAAUUCAAAUUCAUGUGGGGCGAAGCUUAUUAAAGAUAAAAUAUUCCUUAUAAAAAAAGUUCAGUCUUUGAAUUUAAAAUUUUUAUUUUUAAACUCAAAAUAUUAAAGAUGGAGAGCUGACUCAACUAUCCACCACAUCCUAUAAUGUGUGAAACUCAAUUAAUUUGUCCUUUUUCUGGCUGCUUCCUAUAACUAAUUUCUUUUUUCCUUCAUUUUCAUAUUUUCCAACAAGCAGUAAAAUACUUAUCCAAUUAUUGUACAUACGUCUACAUUUCCAAUAAUAUCCCCUCUCCUUCCUUUAUAAACACUGUUUCUUCUCCACUUUUUUCCCAAUCCCUUCUUCUUCCCCCACAAAGCAGGAAAAACACCCAAUCAUGGCAACUCAUAGCUCCACUCUCACCAUAUCCAUAUCCCUACUUCUCCUCCUCUUCUUCUUCUUCUUCUCCACCUUAUCUUCCGCUUCCGACAUGUCCAUCUUAACCUACGACGAAAACCAACACUUUCGAACGGACGAUGAAGUCAUGUCCUUGUACGAGUCAUGGCUACUCGAACAUGGAAAAUCGUACAACGCCUUAGACGAAAAAGACAAGCGGUUUCAGAUCUUUAAAGAUAACUUAAGAUACAUCGAUGAACAAAACUCCGUUCCAAACAAGAGUUACAAGCUUGGUUUAACCAAAUUUGCUGAUCUGACCAACGAGGAGUACAGGUCCAUGUACUUAGGUACUAAGACCAGUGAUCGUCGCAGGUUGUUGAAAAACAAAAGCGAUCGGUAUCUUCCUAAAGUUGGGGAUAGCUUGCCGGACUCAGUUGAUUGGAGAGAGAAAGGUGUUCUUGUUGGAGUUAAGGAUCAAGGAAGCUGUGGUAAGUUAAUUAGCAAUGGCUUUGUCUUUUUCGUUUAUCUCCGGUUUUUGGGUUAUGGAUCUAUAAUUAAUUAGACGGCGUUUUAGAUGAUAUUUUCCUGAUUUAAUUUGUUAUUAAAGCAUAUAGAGAUAGGCUAUUGGUAUUCCACUACCAUAAUUAAUUUAUAUGUAGAAAGUAUUUCUACGAACUUGACAAACAAAGGAAAUCAUACGUGCCUUAUUGUGCUAAAAUAUAUAAAUACUCUACCCGUUUCAAUUUAAAUGAUAUAAUUUGACUUGAUAUAAAGUUUUUAAAAAAAAAGAAGAAAAGAAAACUUUUGAUCAUGUGGUCCUAAAAGGUCAAGGGCAAAAGAUUUGUGGGUAACAUUCGUGUGAUUAUAAAAGUUUCUCUCUAAUGAUAAAAUAGAUAAAAUGAAAACGUUAAAGUUAAAUUGUUUCUAAAUAUAACUAGUUAUUUAUUAUUUCCUAUUUUAUUAGAUUAGAAUCGAUAUCAAGAAUUAUUUUCUAUGUUAUUAUAUCAGAUUUAAAUAUUUUUUCUGUUCUUUACACUUUCAUUGCACUUAAAUAAACUCUCAUGUCAAUAGUAUGGUGGCGUUCAGUUCUAGUCCUCUAUGAGUAGAAAGCCAAUUUGUGUGUCUACGCAUAAACGUAGGAUACCUUUAUGAUUUCCUUGUGUGAAAAUAAAAAAUAGCUGGUCGUUCAAAAAUAGCCAAAUUUUAAAAGUAAUCGAAAUUUAGCCACUUUUUAUGUAAAGAUAAAUUUGAGCGAAAACACUNNNNNNNNNNNNNNNNNNNNNNNNNNNNNNNNNNNNNNNNNNNNNNNNNNNNNNNNNNNNNNNNNNNNNNNNNNNNNNNNNNNNNNNNNNNNNNNNNNNNNNNNNNNNNNNNNNNNNNNNNNNNNNNNNNNNNNNNNNNNNNNNNNNNNNNNNNNNNNNNNNNNNNNNNNNNNNNNNNNNNNNNNNNNNNNNNNNNNNNNNNNNNNNNNNNNNNNNNNNNNNNNNNNNNNNNNNNNNNNNNNNNNNNNNNNNNNNNNNNNNNNNNNNNNNNNNNNNNNNNNNNNNNNNNNNNNNNNNNNNNNNNNNNNNNNNNNNNNNUAUUAUACUGGAGUUCCAGGAUAAGUAUGCUGGAACUCUAUCUGCAUAAGCGCACUAGAACUCCAGCAUAAUAUACUGGAGUUCCAUCAAGUAUACCGGUCCAACAUAAUAUACUGGAGUUUGGAGCACCGGUGCUACAGUAAUAUACUGGAGCUAACAAAGUAUAUCGGUCCAGCAUAAUAUGUUGUAGUUCAUACACAGUUGCACCGAACUCCAGUAUAUUAUGUUGGAUCGGUCUUUGUUGCAGCAAAAUAGUGGCUAUUUUUCAUUGACUUGAUAAACGCUGACUAUUUUUGAAUGACCAAUCCGAAAACUGGCUAUACCGUGCUAUUUUUACAAUUUCCUUCGAGUUUAAAUUCUAUACUUUGAUAGUAUAAUUUUUUAUAGUAUUAGUGUAAUUUAAUUGGGUGUAACAGUUUGUUAUUUUAUUGUUUAAAUAGUCCUAUGCCGGUAUUAUAUAUAUGAAGAGUUAUUUGUUAUAGAUCAAAUUUUACCUAGUAAUAUGUAACAAUUCUUUACAUUUUUUGGUGUAUAGAAAGAUGCAGGGUAAGGUCGCGUACAAUAAAUCCUUAUGAUCCACUUCUUCUUCGCACCUCGCACAUACCCUGAGCUUAGGGCACCGAAUUUCCCUUUUAAUCAUAUUAUUCCAGGACCCCAUCUUUUCUUUUUUCCUAGUCAUUAUUCCCCGACCCCAUCUUUCUAUACGCAUGAGCAAUUAUUAUAGGGUGAAAAGCUUAACAGCACAACUUGAUAAUGAUAGAAAAUGCUGACCAAUUGAUGCUGAGUUUUGGCACUAGAAUAUUUGCUAGUUGCUACAACAUUUAGGGGUCGUUUGGUAGGGCGUAUAAGAAUAAUGCUAAAUAAGGUGCAUUAGUAAUGCAGGGGUUUGUAAUGCAAGCAUUAGUUAUACAGAGAUUAUUUUUUAUGCAUUGUUUGGUGUGGUGUAUUAAAAAUUAAAAUGCAUUGCAUAAUUUUUUAGAUAUUUAAUUGUUUACAAAAAUGCCCUCCAUAUUCUUUACUUAAGGGACUUUAAGGAUAAUUUUGUCUUUAACCAUGCUAAUGCAAGUAUUAAUAGCCUCGAUAUAGCUAAUGUCAUGGUUUUCUAUGCAUUAGCUAUACAUAGGAUAAUACCAAAUAGACUGUAUAACUAAUGCUUGUAUCCGUUAUACAUAGGUUGAAAAAGUGUAUCAAACAAAGCAUUACUAAUACACAAAGCUAAUGCAUGCAUUAUUUUCUCUAACACAUUCUACCAAACGACCUCUUAAUGUGCUCAAAUGUUACACGAAGUGACCCGACGGGCCUUCUAAAUACCAUGUGACACUGACGUGUAUUCUUUAUUAAUGCCUGCAUAUCAGUUUCUUUUAUAAAUCACUGAGUUCAAAUUUCUCAAUUCAUUAUUUAUGUUGUAUGGCUCAAUAUUUGUGUAUUAAUCUAUCGGUUAAUGAACCAGGGAGCUGUUGGGCAUUCUCUGCAAUUGCUUCCGUUGAAGCAGUGAACUCGAUAGUCACCGGAGAUGUGAUUUCACUAUCGGAGCAAGAACUGGUGGAUUGUGAUACUUCCUACAAUGACGGCUGCAAUGGCGGUCUUAUGGACUAUGCCUUUGAUUUCAUCAUCAAAAAUGGAGGAAUUGACACUGAGGAAGACUACCCUUACACAGGCCGUGAUGGCAGAUGUGACCAGUCAAGGGUAAAUUUUGCAUUCUUGAAAUGACUAAAUUCACUUUAUAUAUUGAUUUAUGUAGUGAGUUGAAUAUUUAUUUAUUGAAACAUUUGUGUCAUGCAGAAAAAUGCCAAGGUUGUUACCAUAGAUGGGUAUGAAGAUGUUCCUGCAAAUAAUGAAAAGGCACUGCAAAAGGCUGUUGCAAAUCAACCUGUGAGCAUUGCCAUUGAAGCUGGUGGCCACGACUUUCAACACUAUGUAUCGGUAAUGUUUUUAUUCGCAUUGACCUAUCUUUUUCUUCUGAAAGUAAUAAAUACAAGUGAACAUGCAAAAUCUGAAGUCUUUUAGUUAGUCACAGAAUUCAAAGAAAGACAUCGUCGUUCCAGUAAUACGUUACCUUUCGAUCAGAUAUAAUAGUUUUGUUUCGACCAAAGAAUGUAGCAAAAGAUAACGCUGGCUGCAUGAGUUAAUAGAUUCCUGUUAUAAUUCAAAAACUAUGAUUUACCAAUUAUCACUACUUACAAUUCUAUAUUUAAAUCUUAUUAUAAUGAAGUUCUUAUUGGCUAGUAGCUAUAUGGUUCUAAUACAUAUAUUUUGCAGGGUAUCUUUACUGGAAAAUGUGGAACUGCAGUGGACCAUGGCGUGGUUGCUGUUGGAUAUGGUAGUGAGAAUGGUAUGGAUUAUUGGAUUAUCAGGAACUCUUGGGGUGCUUCCUGGGGAGAGAAAGGUUACCUUCGGGUUCAACGUAACGUUGCCAGUUCUAAAGGUUUGUGUGGAUUAGCCAUAGAGCCUUCUUACCCAGUCAAGACAGGCGUAAAUCCCCCUAAACCUGGACCUUCUCCUCCAUCUCCAAUCAAGCCACCUACUCAGUGUGAUGAUUAUGCUCAAUGCCCCGAGGGUACCACUUGCUGUUGUGUCUUUGAAUACUAUAACUCCUGCUUUUCUUGGGGAUGUUGCCCUCUUGAAGGAGCCACUUGCUGUGAAGAUCACUACAGUUGUUGCCCACACGACUAUCCUGUCUGCAAUAUUCGUGCAGGCACCUGCUCAAUAGUAAGUGACUCGCACUUAUUAUUUCUAAAGAGAAGUUUGAUUUCUAUACAUUGAUCGUCCAAAGAAUUUUGAUAUUAUCAGUGUAAUUUAACUGGUUGUAGCAUGUUGCUCGCCAUUCUUUCUAAACAAUGCUCGUGAUUGCAUUUGUUGAUACAGAGCAAGGACAACCCGCUGGGAGUGAAGGCAAUGAAGCACAUCCAUGCCGAACCAAUUGAGGCCUUCAUAAAUGGAGGAAGGAAGAGCAGUUCUUGAAAUUUCACAAGCACCAGCUCUGUGGAAUGAGGUGAGAGAAGGGUCAACAGAGGAUCUAAAGUUCAUGAUUGUGCUUGACGACCUCGUUGGUACAUUGAUUUGCAGGCCUCAUUUCCAGUAGAAAGUUGUAGAAAAAAGAUAAUCCACAAUCAAGUAUUUCAAAAAAGCUGAUAUAUGAUUUGUAUAUAUGCUUAUUUAUUGUUGUCGCUGCAACUACAGCAAGAUUAAAGAAGGAUUAUUGUUCUGCUUUGUCUAAUUAUGUAAAUAAUCCUUGUUUCUUAGUAUGAAGACUCCAAGUGAUGUUUUCAUCAGCCUGUUUAUUCUUUCACUUGUACUUGGUUUCAACAAUAAUAUCAAAGACUAGUUUCUGCAACUUUUCAUCACACUGUAUUUAUUUACUCCACCAUCUGUUUUUUCCUGCCCCUAUUUAUUCAAGAUUGAACAAGUAUUCAUUCUUUUUCCUGACAUAAUACUGGUACGAAAUGAUUCUAAACUGGUCGAAAUUGGAUAGUAGAAAGACUGUCCCCAAUUUGAGCGAAACUUACAACAGCCCGAAAAGGAACUGCAGUAAUCAAGCAAACUUAAUUUCACAUUGAGUAGAGCGUUUAUUAAACAAUUCAUCAACCAUAGGGCCGUAUCCUGUAUUCCAAGUUUAAAAGAACUUGAUUAUGAGGCAUUGAAGCUCCUCCACAAUAAUUUCCAUACAUUCCCUAAUCAUUCAGGAUACCGUAUGGAUUGCCUCUUUGAAGCAUCCCGUUUGAAAUGCAAGUUGCAGACUAGACGGAGGUAGCUGCCCAUGCCGAAGCUGCCAAUUCAAGUAUUCCAACUGUUGCUCUUUGGGCUUAUAGGACGGUUUUUUAAAACAUCAUUUGAUAUGUCAUAAUAUCAAUUGGUUUUUGAAAAGACUUGUCAUCUACCAGCAGAGUUUGAACAAAUGAAAGCAUGGGCAUUGAAGAAUUUGAACUUGGAGCUGGGAGAUGUUGAGAACGGGGUGUUUGACUCAAAAGAUUGUAAAAUCUUUUUGAGCAAAUCAAUCAAAAGAUAAAGGGGUAAAUCAUAGUCAAACUUAAUUGAUUCCAGAUCGAAAGAUUUCAUAAUGAUAAUUGUAUAUGGGACGAAGGAAAUAUCAACAAUUUUAUUAAGAUUCAACAUUGCAUUCCUCAUCGGUUGAUGAGGAAAGAUCAUUCCAAUUGUUCUUCUUUUCGGGAUAUAUGAAUGGAGUUUUUUCUUCUAACUUCCCUUCUCAGAGAAUCGGAAAAGCCCCCUCUCUUGAAAACCUUCCUUGGCUAUAUAUAGUCGAAGUUUCUUUACCCUCAGUGUGACUUGGCGCGUUUUGGCCAAUGAUGCAUUCUGGUUGUAACUUUAGGCGUUGCUCCUUUCGAUUUGGCGGAUAUCUCAGAGGAGAAAUGGAGUGGACUCUGUUGACUUUCACUACCCGAUUGCUAAGAAGGGGGUCGUGGGCAACCUGGUCGUGGUGGUCAGUCGGGGUCGUCCUUUGUCGGGCUCGACAGACGGAUUAUGUUUGUAGCGAAGUCGAGAGAAAUCUAACCCCCAAAUUUCCAUUCCUUAGUCGCAUUCUGCAGAUUUUUUGGCGGGGUGGGGCUGUUCUUUCGACACUCGUGAACUGUUGUGAUGAUCUCGGAAUCGAAACGCCGGUUGGCACUGAAGCGUUGGUUCGUGGGUGCCACCAUUAUGACACACGUUUCUGGGAAACUGAAACGUUUCGUGCCCUAUCAGAUUCAAAUGGCGACUCUUGGGUUUCGUGCUCGGGGAAUUUAUGUCCCUUAUAAAUAGGGGAACUUGUCAUCUGGUUGAUUCACUUCAUCAUUUGUUUGAGAGAGUUCUUCGGAUACUGCUUUCUCUGAUACCUCGAAUUUCUGCUUUCCUUCUUGCUUGCUAAAACCUUUCGUCUCUUCUCCUUAUUACUUCUCUUGGCGAGUUUUCUGCUAAAAAUGGCUGGUGAUUCUUCUCGUGAUAAUCUUUCUGCCGUUGAUCUGGUACCGGAAAGUUCUGUUCAGAUCACCGGAGAGGUGGAUACGGUGGAGGAUGAGGAGGUUCUCUUGGUAGAUGAGAUUUUGCCUCGCCUUGGAAGGGAUGCGACUGACUUUAGUUUCAGUGGUGGAGCGGAGACGGAACCCGUCGCUUCCAUUGUUAGAGAAAGUGGGAUUGUAGAUUUGAGGGAACGGUGGGGAAUCCCUAAUUACGUCGAGAUACAGCCGGCGGAGAGGGACGACAGAGUUCACUUUGACCGUCCCGGGUAUUGUGUAUUCUACGCCUACCCCUUCAUUAUAGGGUACACACUUCCUCUUCCCAUGUUGGUGGUAGAUUUUUGCCGUUACUACGAAGUGUGUCCGGCUCAGCUUUCGCCUUAUUUGUACAAGGUGUUUAUCAUGUUGCUCAAGUAUGAUGAACUUGUCGGCCGUGAGGUCACUUUGGGCGACAUGCUUAGUAUAUUUGCUCCUCAAAUGAUUCGCGGUACGAUGAUUCACGCGCGUCCUCGGGGGUCAAGGAGUCUGGUGGUGAAGAUGGAUGACAGAACCAAUCGUCGUUUCUAUGAGAAUUACUUUUAUGUGCGGACCGAGCACAUUGUAGCGGACCCGGCGGGAUUCCCUGAGAGAUGGAACUUCGCAUGAAAGUUUGCAUCUUUAAUUAAUGAAAUGUUUGACCGUUUUCUGCGGAUGCUAAACCGUCUCAUUUUUUGCAGAUGAGAAAUUGCUCUCGCCGCUUGUCGAAGGGAUUCGUGAAUGGGUAGAGGCCAUUCUUCCCCAUACAGUGGCAGUUCGCACAUGGUCGACCUUUCACGAUAGGUUCGGGCGCAAGCCUCUUACAGGUAAGAUGACGCCUUCAUCAACAGUUAUCUUUUUCUUUUGUUGUUUAGCCUCUUAUACAUCGUUCGUCGUUGCCAUGGCUGAUGCGGGGAGCAAGGGCCCCUCAGCUAGCUUUUAGUCAGCCGGCCGCAUCGCCUUGCCACCAUACCCGCUAUACGACCCUCGUCGAGGGCUACUUCGGUUGAAUCUGCGGCCUUGGUUACUCCAGUGAGGGCCGCUUUUCAGGAUGAGGUCCCGACUAGUAUCAUCCGUCCUACAAAAGAGUCACCUUCGAUUGGAGAGGAAGAGAGGAUGUCGAAAAGACGGAGAGUAGAGUUUGAGAUGGAGCCCCCGACAGUGAUUCACCCGGACGACUCUUCCCCGACGGGCUCCGGAGAAGGUGGUUUUAUGGCUCCCCUCGUAGAGGCGGCGUAAAAUGUUGAAGUUGUUGGUGCCCUUGAUCAAUGAUCAGCAACUCCAGCUGCCGUCUUGGAUCAACCAGAAGUCCCUACCGUUACUGAUGAUCAACACCUUAUCGCGACAGAGAACCAGACCUCUGGCACUACUGUUGUGACUUCAGACAUGCCCUCAUCUUCCGCAGCGAAUCAUGCUCCUCCUUUAGCAGCAGAAAGGGGAAAAGGUGUGGUGGUUGACGAGUAUGAAUCUGAGUCAAACCUAGACCCUGAUGAUUUUAGGAUGUUCGAGGAGGGCCUCACCCAUUCUAUGGUUCAUGCGGGGGGCUCGGCCUGUAUUCUUUAGAUCCCUUCAGGCGUUAACCUCUUGAUGGAAGGGGAGGAUCUGGUGCCGCAGUUUAGCUUGUUAUGUUCAGAAGCAGAGAAUGAGUCCCUUCGGGAUACCCUUGAUGCUGAGUUGAGGGAUGAGGUGGCCGUCAUGGGUUUGAGGGUACGUUGCAUUUGGUUCUCGCUUUAAUCUUUCCCCUUGUUCGAAAGUAUUAGCUUAACCCCGUCUUUAUGAUUUUCAGACGUACAUGGUGGAAGUGGAAAGCAUUCAUAGGGCCAACGUCCGGGCAAGGAUUUUCUUGAAGAUGCUGGAGAAGUAUCGUCGCUAUCGUGACAGAUGUCGCAAGAUGCAUGAGCGACUGAGGACGGAUCACCGCAACCGGGCUCUUAGUGAGGAGUUAGAGAGAAGGGAUCAGGAAUUGAUGCAGACGAUCUGUAGCAAGAGCGAACUCGAGGAGCAACUCCGUAUCAAGGACGAGGAGCUCGAAUUGGGUAGGGGAUUGCUAUGGAGUGUGAGCAUUUGCAGGGCAAGUUGAGGUCUAUGCAGUCGGAGAUGAACCAGAACUUGGUCAGGAUCGAGGCGAUGAGCGCCGAGUGGAGGAGGAAGUUGAUCGUGAUGGAGAGCAAAUUUGCUGGUUUGGAGAAUAUUGAGAGAGCCUGGUUGAGGCUUUGGCGAGGGCGGCGGCCCUGAAGGAUACCAUCCGCGUACUACAAUCUGAACAGGAGUCGGAGAGAGCGACAGCUCCUCUUAUGGAGGCGAGGCUCGAAGAGCGGAUUAACACGAUUGAUCAGCAGGCUUCGGUUCUGGGAGAUCGGGCCGCGGCCCUGGAGGCGGAGAAUGAGCGACUAAAGGCUCAGGUUGAAUCAUCCCCCGCCGUCGAUCCUCGCCAAGUGCAUGAGCUUUGGGUUUAUGCCGAAGCCCAGCGGGACAUAUAUAAGGGUUUGUGGGAAGCAGGCACCAUGGCUGAGGCUGCUUAUGAAGAAGCGCGAGCGAAAGCUUGCAUCAGCUGUGGAUAUGACGCGGCGACGCCCGAAGCUAAUGGGGGUGCGGAUGGUGAUAGUGGUGAACCUCGUGAAGACGGUGAUGAUGUUGGUGAUGAUGCCGGCGGUGAUGACCCGAAUGAAGAGUAUUGUCCUCUAUUUUAUUUUUAUUUUGUUUGUUGAUUAUCGUCUGUUCGUUCCAUCUUCUCUUUUUUUAUUGGUUGGCCUGGGCCAUAUGUAAGCGGCGGUAGCUCGCACUAUGACGUUGUGUAAAUAAAAGUUUUCUUCGCUAUUUGCCUUGUACUACACUUUUUACUCCAAUUGUUCAUGGCUUCGGUGCAAGACAGAGGCUGGCCCGACGAGUCCCGAUUUUUCUUUUCUUCCGGUGGUUGUCAAACUCUUUUCUUGAUAGCGAAGGCCCUUGGCCUUGAAGGGUGUUAUUUCAAACUUAUUGAAAUAACAGCCCGACGUCAUUCGAUCAAGGUUAAACCUCUUUUUUUUUAUGGCGAAGGCCCUUGGCCUUAAAGGGUGUUAUUUCGAACUUAUCGAAAUAACAGCCCGUCGUCGUUUGAGCGAGGUCAAACCUCUCUUUUUCUUGAUGGCAAAGGACCUUGGCCUUAAAGGGUGUUAUUUCGAACUUUUUGAAAUAAUUGCCCGUCGUCGUUCGAGCGAGGUCGAACCUCUUUUUUUUGAUGGCGAAGGCCCUUGGCCUUAAAGGGUUCAACCCGUCAUCGUUCGAGUGAGGUAGGACCUCUCUUUUUCUUGAUGGUGAAGGCCCUUGGCCUUAAAGGGUGUUAUUUUGAACUUAUCGAAGUAAUAGCCCGUCGUCGUUCGAGCGAGGUCGAACCUCUCUUUUUCUUGAUGGCGAAGUCCCUUGGCUUUAAAGGGUGUUAUUUCAAACUUAACGAAAUAACAGCCUGUCGUCUUUCGAGCAAGGUCGAACCUCUCUUUUUUUGAUGGCGAAGGCCCUUGGCCUUAAAGGGUGUUAUUUCAAACUUAUUGAAAUAACAGCACGUCGUCGUUCGAGCGAGGUCGAACCUCUCUUUUUCUUGAUGGCGAAGUCCCUUGGACUUAAAGGGUGUUAUUUCGGACUUAUCAAACUAACAGCCCGUCUUCGUUCCAGUGAGGUCGAACCUCUUUUUUUUUAUGGCGAUGGACCUUGGCCUUAAAGGGUGUUAUUUUGAACUUAUUGAAGUAACAGUCCGUCAUCAUUUGAGCGAGGUCGAACCACUUUUUUUUAUGGCGAAGGCCCUUGGCCUUAAAGGGUGUUAUUUCGAACUUAUCGAAGUAACAUCCCGUUGUCAUUCGAGCGAGGUCGAAACUCUCUUUUUCUUGAUGGCGAAGGCCCUUGGCCUUAAAUAGUGUUAUUUCGAACUUAUCCAAUUGACAACCCAUCGUCGUUCCUAGUUUCUAGAGAGUUGGGCGUCUUCCGUGGGAGUCCCAGUUUGUUUGUUCUUGCUUGCAUCAGAUGGUUCAACUUUGGUGGGUGCGAGAUGUCAACAUUUCGCGCAGCUCGCGCUGUGCGCACAUUAUAGUUUUCAUGUCUAACUCCGGCCGUUCAGCUCGGAGAUGCUGCCAGCAGGUGAGGUUCGGCUGCAUCGAAAUAAUUUUUGUUUUUCAAUAUAGGUGUCCUUACGUGCGUACGUCCACGUGGAUCUUAUGUGCUUGCUCUGGCGAAGUGGGGGAGGUGAGGGUGAGAUGUUCUUCGCUCCCGUCGGUGGUUAGGUGGGGGAGAGCUGGAUUGUAGAACCGUUUGCCUUGUUUAGGAUAUUUGCAGCUAAUGGGGCAAGGAAUUCCAGGUUUCGUGACUCCGUUUGGCUUUCCUUCCCUCAACGCGUUGUUCCUAUGUCUCGUGUGAGUUAGAUUCUCCUUUCGUCUUUCGGUGAAUGAUUGUGUUUCUUAGCGUUGAUCUGGUAAAAACUAGGAGUUUUCACUAGGAAAUCCCCACAUAUGGCGCCAAAUUGUUUGACUCAAAAGAUUGUAAAAUCUUUUUGAGCAAAUCAAUCAAAAGAUGAAAGGGUAAAUCAUAGUCAAAAUUAAUUGAUUCCAGAUCGAGUGAUUUCAUAAUGAUAAUUGUAUAUGGGAUGAAGAAAAUGUCAGCAAUUCUAUUAAGACUCACCAUUGCAUUCCUCAUCGGUUGAUGAGGAAAUAUAUUACAAUUGUUCUUCUUUUCGGGAUAUAGGAAUGGAGUUUUUUCUUCUGACCCCCCCUUCUCAGAGAAUCGGAAAAGCCCCCUCUCUUGAAAACAUUCCUUGGCUAUAUAUAGUCAAAGUUUCUUUACCCUAAGUGUGACUUGGCCCGUUUGGCCAAUGAUGCAUUUUGGUCGUAACUUUAGGCGUUGCUCCUUUCGAUUUGGCGGAUAUCUCGGAGGAGAAAUGGAGUGGACUCUAUUGACUUUCACUACCCGAUUCCUAAGAAGGGGGUCGUGGGCAACCUGGUCCUAGUGGUCAGAUUUUGACCAAUACAGUUAGUCCCUCCGUCUGUCAGGGUCAUCCUUUGUCGGGCUCGACAGACGGAUUAUGUUUGUAGCGAAGUCUAGAGAAAUCUGACCCCCAAUUUUCCAUUCCUUAGUCGCAUUCUGCGGAUUUUUGGCAGGGUGGGGGUGUUCUUUAGACACUCGUGAACCGUUGUGAUGAUCUCGGAAUCGAAACAACGGUUGGCACUGAAGCGUUGGUUCGUGGGUGCCACCAUUAUGACACACGUUUCUGGGAAACUGAAACGUUUCGUGCCCUAUCAGAUUCAAAUGGCGACUCUUGGGUUUCGUGCUCGGGGAAUUUAUGUCCCUUAUAAAUAGGGGAACUUGUCAUCUGGUUGAUUCACUUAAUCAUUUGUUUGAGAGAGUUCUUCGGAUACUGCUUUUUCUGAUACCUCGAAUUUCUGCUUUCCUUCUUGCUUACUGAAACCUUUCGUCUCUUCUCCUUAUUACUUCUCUUGGCGAGUUUUCUGCUAAAAAUGGCUGGUGAUUCUUCUCGUGAUAAUCUUCCUGCCGUUGAUCCGGUACCAGAAAGUUCUAUUCAGAUCACCGGAUAGGUGGAUGCGGUGGAUGAUGAGGAGGUUCCCUUGGUGGAUGAGAUUUUGCCUUGCCCCGAAAGGGAUGCGACUGACUUUAGUUUCAGCGGUGGAGCGGAGCCGGAACCCAUCGCUUCUAUUAUUAGAGAAAGUGGUAUUGUAGAUUUGAGGGAACAGUGGGGAAUUCCUAAUUACGUCGAGAUACGACCGGCGGAGAGGGACGAUAGAUUUCACUUUGACUGUCCCGAGUAUUGUGUGUUCUACGCCUACCCCUUCAUUGUAGGCUACACACUUCCUCUUCCCAUGUUGGUGGUAGAUUUUUGUCGUUACUACGAAGUAUGCCCGACUCAGCUUUCGCCUUAUUUGUACAAGUUGUUUAUCAUGCUGCUCAAGUAUGCGGAACUGUCCGGCCGUGAGGUUACUUUGGGCCACAUGCUUAGUAUAUUUGCUCCUCAACUGAUUCGCGGUACGAUGAUUCACGCACAUCCUCGGGGGUCAAGGGGUCUGGUGGUGAAGAUGGACGAUAGAACCAAUCGUCGUUUCUAUGAGAAUUACCUUUAUGUGCGGACCAAUCACAUUGUAGCGGACCCGACGGGAUUCCCUAAGAGAUAGAACUUUGCAGGUAAGUUUGUGUCUUUAAUUAAUGAAAUGUUUGAUCAUUUUCUGCGUAUGCUAAACCGUCUCAUCUUUUUCAGCUGAGAGAUUGCUCCCGCCGCCUGUCGAAGGGUUUUGUGAAUGGGUAGGGGCCAUUCUUCCCCAUAUAGUGGGAGUUCGCACAUGGUCGACAUUUCAUGAGAGGCUCGGGCGCAGGCCUCUUACAGGUGAAAUGACGCCUUUAUCUACAAUUCUCUUUUUCUUUUGUUGUUUAGCCUCUUAUACAUCGUUCGUUGUUUCCAGGGAGGAUGCGGAGAGCAAGGGCCCCUCAGCCAGCUUUUCAUUAGCCGGCCGCAUCCGCUCGCCUUGCCGCCGUACCCGUUGUACGACCCUCGUCGAGGGAUGCUUCGGUUGAAUUUGUGGCCUCGGUUACUCCAAUGAGGGCUGCUUUUUAGGAUGACGUCCCGACCAGUGUCAUCCGUCCUACGAACGAGUCACCUUCGACUAGAGAGGAAGAGGGGUCUUCGAAGAGACGGAGAGUAGAGUUUGAGAUGGUGCCCCCAAUAGUGAUUCACCCGGACGACUCUCCCCCGACGGGCUCCAGAGAAGGUGUUGUUGUGGCUCCUCCCAUAGAAGCGGCGCAAACUGUUGAAGUUGUUGGUGCCCGUGAUCAACGAUCAGAAACUCCAGCCGCUGUCUUGGCUCAACCAGAAGUCCCUACCGUUACUGAUGAUCAACACCUUGUCGCAGCAGAGAACCAGACCUUUGGCACUGCUGUUGUGACUUCAGACGUGCCCUCAUCUUCCGCAGCGGAUCGUACUCCUCCUUCAUCAGUGGAAAAGGGGAAAAGGUGUGGUGGUUGAUGAGUAUGAAUCUGAGUCAGACCUGGAUCCUGAUGAUGUUAGGAUGUUCGAGGAGGGCCUCACCCAUUCUGUGGUUCAUGCGGGGGGCUCGACCCAUAUUCUUUAGAUCCCUUCAGGCGUUAACCUCUUGGCGGAAGGGGAGGAUCUGGUGCCGCAGUUUAGCUUGUUAUGUUCAGAAGCAGAGAAUGAGUCCCUUCGGGAUACCCCUAAUGCUGAGUUAAGGGAUGAGGUGGCUGUCAUGGGCUUGAGGGUACGUUGCAUUUGGUUCUCGCUUUAAUCUUUCCCCUUGUUCGAAAGUAUUAGCUUAACCCUGUAUUUAUUAUUUUCAGACAUACAUGGUGGAAGUGGAAAGCAUUCGUAGGGCCAACGUCCGGGCAAGGAUUUUCUUGCAGAUGCUGGAGAAGUACCGUCGCUAUCGUGAUAGAUGUCGCGAGAUGCACGAGCGGCUGAGGACGGAUCCCCGCAAUUGGGCUCUUGGUUAGGAGUUAGAGAGAAGGGAUCAGGAAUUGAUGCAGACGAUCCGUAGCAAGAGCGAACUCGAGGAGCAACUCUGCAUCAAGGACGAGGAGCUCGAAUUUGGUAAGGGGAUUGCUAUGGAGUGUGAGCUUUUCAAGGCAAGUUGAGGUCUUUGCAGACGGAGAUGGACCAGAACUUGGUCAGGAUCGAGGCGAUGAGCGCCGAGUGGAGGAGGAAGUUGACCGUGAUCGAGAGAAAAUUUGCUGGUUUGGAGAAUAUUGAGAGAGCCUGGUCUGAGGAUUUGGCGAGGGCGGGGGCCCUAGAAGACACCAUCCGCGUACUCCAAUCUGAACAGGAGUCGGAGAGAGCGACAACUGCUCUUAUGGAGGCGAGGCUCGAAGAACGGAUUAGCACGAUUGAUCAGUAGGCUUUGGUUCUGGGAGAUCGGGUCGCGACCCUAGAGGCGGAGAAUGAGCAACUAAAGGCUUAGGUUGAAUCAUCACCUGCCGCCGAUCCUUUCCAAGUGCAUGAGCUUUGGGUUUAUACCGAAGCCCAGCGGGACAUAUAUAAGGGUUUGUGGGAAGCAGGCACCGUGGCUGAGGCUGCUUAUGAAGAAGCGCGAGCGAAAACUCGUGAGGCUUGCAUCAGCUGUGGAUACGACGCGGUGACGCCUGAAGCUAAUGGGGUGCGGAUGGUGAUAGUGGUGAACCUCGUGAAGAUGGUGAUGAUAUUGGUGAUGAUUGCGGCGGUGAUGACCCGAAUGAAGAGUAUUGUCCUUUGUUUUUAUUUUUAUUUUGUUUGUUGAUUGUCGUCUGUUCGUUCCAUCUUCUCUUUUAUUUAUUGGUUGGCUUGGGCCAUAUGUAAGCAGUGGUAGCCCGCACUAUGACAUUGCGUAAAUAAAAGUUUUCUUCGCUAUUUGCCUUGUACUUCACUUUUUACUCCAAUUGUUCAUGGCUUCGGUGCAAGACAGAGGCUCGCCUGACGAGUCCCAGUUUUUCUUUUCUUCCGGCGUUUGUCAAACUCUUUUUUUUCGUGAAGGCCCUUUNNNNNNNNNNNNNNNNNNNNNNNNNNNNNNNNNNNNNNNNNNNNNNNNNNNNNNNNNNNNNNNNNNNNNNNNNNNNNNNNNNNNNNNNNNNNNNNNNNNNNNNNNNNNNNNNNNNNNNNNNNNNNNNNNNNNNNNNNNNNNNNNNNNNNNNNNNNNNNNNNNNNNNNNNNNNNNNNNNNNNNNNNNNNNNNNNNNNNNNNNNNNNNNNNNNNNNNNNNNNNNNNNNNNNNNNNNNNNNNNNNNNNNNNNNNNNNNNNNNNNNNNNNNNNNNNNNNNNNNNNNNNNNNNNNNNNNNNNNNNNNNNNNNNNNNNNNNNNNNNNNNNNNNNNNNNNNNNNNNNNNNNNNNNNNNNNNNNNNNNNNNNNNNNNNNNNNNNNNNNNNNNNNNNNNNNNNNNNNNNNNNNNNNNNNNNNNNNNNNNNNNNNNNNNNNNNNNNNNNNNNNNNNNNNNNNNNNNNNNNNNNNNNNNNNNNNNNNNNNNNNNNNNNNNNNNNNNNNNNNNNNNNNNNNNNNNNNNNNNNNNNNNNNNNNNNNNNNNNNNNNNNNNNNNNNNNNNNNNNNNNNNNNNNNNNNNNNNNNNNNNNNNNNNNNNNNNNNNNNNNNNNNNNNNNNNNNNNNNNNNNNNNNNNNNNNNNNNNNNNNNNNNNNNNNNNNNNNNNNNNNNNNNNNNNNNNNNNNNNNNNNNNNNNNNNNNNNNNNNNNNNNNNNNNNNNNNNNNNNNNNNNNNNNNNNNNNNNNNNNNNNNNNNNNNNNNNNNNNNNNNNNNNNNNNNNNNNNNNNNNNNNNNNNNNNNNNNNNNNNNNNNNNNNNNNNNNNNNNNNNNNNNNNNNNNNNNNNNNNNNNNNNNNNNNNNNNNNNNNNNNNNNNNNNNNNNNNNNNNNNNNNNNNNNNNNNNNNNNNNNNNNNNNNNNNNNNNNNNNNNNNNNNNNNNNNNNNNNNNNNNNNNNNNNNNNNNNNNNNNNNNNNNNNNNNNNNNNNNNNNNNNNNNNNNNNNNNNNNNNNNNNNNNNNNNNNNNNNNNNNNNNNNNNNNNNNNNNNNNNNNNNNNNNNNNNNNNNNNNNNNNNNNNNNNNNNNNNNNNNNNNNNNNNNNNNNNNNNNNNNNNNNNNNNNNNNNNNNNNNNNNNNNNNNNNNNNNNNNNNNNNNNNNNNNNNNNNNNNNNNNNNNNNNNNNNNNNNNNNNNNNNNNNNNNNNNNNNNNNNNNNNNNNNNNNNNNNNNNNNNNNNNNNNNNNNNNNNNNNNNNNNNNNNNNNNNNNNNNNNNNNNNNNNNNNNNNNNNNNNNNNNNNNNNNNNNNNNNNNNNNNNNNNNNNNNNNNNNNNNNNNNNNNNNNNNNNNNNNNNNNNNNNNNNNNNNNNNNNNNNNNNNNNNNNNNNNNNNNNNNNNNAGCGAGGUCGAACCUCUCUUUUUUUGAUGGCGAAGGACCUUUGGCCUUAAAGGGUGUUAUUUUGAACUUAUCGAAGUAACAGCCCGUUGUCGUUCGAGCGAGGUCGAACCUCUCUUUUUCUUGAUGGCGAAGGCCCUUGGCCUUAAAGGGUGUUAUUUCGAACUUAUCGAAAUGACAGCCCGUCGUCAUUCCUAGUUUCUAGAGAGUUGGGCGUCUUCCGUGGGAGUCCCAGUUUGUUUGGUAUUGCUUGCAUCAGAUGGUUCAACGUUGGUGGAUACGAGGCGUCAACGUUUCGCGCAGCUCGCGCUGUGCGCACAUUAUGGUUUUCCUGUUUGACUCCGGCCGUUCAGCUCAGAGAUGCUGCUGGCAGGUGAGGUUUCGGCUGCAUCGAAAUAAUUUUUGUUCUUAAAUCUAGGUGUCCUUGUGUGCGUUCGUCCACGUGGAUCUUAUGUGCUUUCUCUGGCGAAGUGGGGGAGGUGAGGGUGAGAUGUUCUUCACUCCCGUCCGGUGGGAGAGAGCUGGAUUGUAGAACCGUUUGCCUUGUUUAGGUUAUUUGCAGUUGAUGGGGUGAGGAAUUCCAAGUUUCGUGACUCUAUUUGGCUUUCCUUCCCUCAACGCGCUUUUCUUAUGUCUCGCGUGAGUUAGAUUCUCCUUUCAUGCUUCUUUCGGUGAAUGAUUGUGUUUCUCAACUUUGAUCUGGGAAAAACUAGGAGUUUUCACUAGGAAAUCCCCACAGACGGCGCCAAAUUGUUUGACUCAAAAGAUUGUAAAAUCUUUUUUUAGCAAAUUAAUCAAAAGAUUAAGGGAUAAAUCGUAGUCAAACUUAAUUAAUUCCAGAUCGAGAGAUUUCAUAAUGAUAAUUGUAUAUGGGACGAAGGAAAUAUCAGCAAUUUUAUUAAGAUUCGACGUUUCAUCGGUUGAUGAGGAAAGAUAUUACAAUUGUUCUUCUUUUCGGGAUAUAGGAAUGGAGUUUUUUCUUCUGACUUCCCUUCUCAGAGAAUCGGAAAAUCCCACUCUCUUGAAAACUUUCCUUGGCUAUAUAUAGUCGAAGUUCUUUACCCUCAGUGUGACUUGGCACAUUUUGGCCAAUGAUGCAUUCUGGUCGUAACUUUGGCGUUGCUCCUUUCGAUUUGUCGAAUAUCUCGGAGGAGAAAUGGAGUGGACUCUGUUGACUUUCACUACCCGAUUGCUAAAAAGGGAGUCAUGGGCAACCUGAUCGUGAUGGUCAAAUUUUGACCAAUACACAGGGGUCAUACAGUUGAAUAAGUUGGAUAAGGUUUGGCGACAUGCCUAGAGAGUGCAAGCUUAUACAACGACUAAAGGAACCUACUCCAUGAUGAGAAAAUAAUAAACUAUCAUUUUCAUCCAGAGAUAGAAUGCUAUCUCACAAUUCAUGCCAAGAAUAUGGAGCAUAUUGUCGAAAAACUUGAAUGAUGAUAAGUGGACAAUGAGACUAUUUGCAUAAUUCUCAGAGGUUGGUAUUUAGGGUUGUAGAGAUUGAUCUGCGAUUGAAAAGAAGCAUAUUAAAUUUCUUCACUAUAAGUUUUCUAUGGUAUUGGUGGUGUAGCUAUAUCGAUAGGUUACAUGGAGUUGAUGAGGUGAAAAACACAAGAAGAAAUGAUGCAGCCUUUUCCUGUUUCAUUUGCCCUCUUUAACUUCAGGUAUUCUUUUUUACAGAAUAAGUUGUUAAUACUAAGUAAUCACUUUUGUCUUAAAUCAUAAUAUGAAUAUUUAGUUUUUUAAAAAUAUAUUCUACGAGAACAUGUUGAGACAUCAUGUUUCGAUAAAAAGGUGUCAAAUGGAUGUACUCUGAAAUUCUUAGAUUAUUUUGGGAUUUAUUUAUUAUUUAAUAGCACGUUUAAGGCAUAUCCCACGAUUUUAGUUAGACAAUUAGAAAUAUAUGUCAUUUCGCCCUCAUCUAGACAUGGUAAGUCCCAAAGUUUGUGUAGCAUUUUAAUUGUUACAUAUUGAAAUCCAAAUUUAGUUAACUUCUAAACAGAUUUCUCAUGAUACCCAAUUAAAAGAUCAUAUCUUCUUUGUCAUGACAAAGCAUAACAGACAAUGGCAUAACACAAGCUAUAGUCUUUUCUAUCCCCUCCGUAUUCCGGUCAAGAAACCUUGAACAAAGAAGCCAACCACAUAAUCCAAAAAUUGCACCUACGUUGAAGCCUUCAGUCCCAAGGUUGAUGUUAGAAGGCUCUCAACAAACAAACUUGGCACAUGUUUGUUGAAGCAUCCAAGCCCUCUACUACUGCAUCUUUAGAAAUGUCUCUGACAUCAAAUUAAGCAGUGGAAUUGGAGCCUCUUACCAACUAUAUUAGCCGAAAGAAAGUAAUUGGACAUAUCUAUAUAAUAUUAUGACAAAACAGACACACCGAAUAUCUGAUCCAACUUGAGCCGUUAUUUCCAAGGCCAUGCAACCGGACUAUAGUUGCCUGGUAUUUAUGUUAGGCUACAUUAGAAACUCCAUAAUCGCAUUUCAUUUGAAUAUAACUCUCAUCGAAUGUGAAAAGGCUAGCAAAACUCAUAUUUCUUCAACUGAAAAGUCUACUAGUUAUUUAAAUUUAUCAAGAGCAACAUGUGAUAUAUCGAGGAUUAGGGACACUUAACUCUAACAAGCUCUAGCUUGUCUUUCUCAAGGGGAAGGGACAAAUGGCUUAUUUCCCAAGUUCUUAAAUUCUACGGUGAAAGAUAUUUCAUUAUGAUUGUUUGAUUUAUUUUCUUUUUUAAUGAGUCUGAGUAAUCAAAUUAGAAACUUUAGCUUUUAAAGUCUUUUUGUAAUUUUUCAAAGGUGUGAUAUUCUUUGUUAUGCUAUUACAAGAUACAUUAUGUUAAAUAUUUGUUUAUAUUUGAUAUAUUUUAUAUUAAAAAUACAGUGUUAGAUAAAUAAAAGCCAAAUUUUAAACAUCUAUAAAACAAAAGACAAAAAAUAUUAUUUAUCCUAUUAGAUCAUUUUAAGUAUAAUUAAAUGUAACUCAUAAUUAAAAUCAAUAGGUAAGAAAAAAAGACAAAUAAUUUUUUGUAGUAUUCAAUUAUAUUUUAUCGUUCAACCUCUCUUUAUUAUUGUACACGCCAUUUAACUUUAUGCAAUAUGAAUGUUACAAAUUUUUUUGUAUGUUAUAAAUAUUUUUUUAAGAAAGUUGAAUUAAUUUGUGAAGAUUUGCUAUCAAGAACAAGAAGUUAGUGUUGGUUCACUAUUCAUUACUUAGUAAAAAAAAUUGUUAGGAACGAUUUAUAAUGUGUUAAAAAUGAAUAGAGAUCAAAUUCCACUGGUUUGAAGUUUUUGGGGAUGAUAUGACUAAAAUUAUUCCAUUUCAAAUAGUUCAGGGUCGGUCUUUUUCAAUCCAAGUUGGAAUAACUGGAUGACAUUUUGGCUAACAAUGGCAUUUUUGAGCUACUUGAUUAAUGGCAAAGAUAUUGUGUCAAAAUGUAAAACGAAAGGCAAAGUUGUCCCGUCAUGAAUAGUUCACGGCAAAUUGGUCUGCUUACCCCUAAAAUUUGGAUAACAAUUAAACUUAUAGUGUGAUUUUAAGGACACGUGAUUUCACCUAAUACCAAUUGAUAAAUAUAAAAAGUAAUAAUAGAAAUUAAAAAUAAUAUAAAGCAAACCGGUGUUUGAACUAAAUUCAACCCUCGAGCUUGAAUACCCUCGAACUGAUUUGUGCAAGAAAAUAUAACAAGCUGAUGAACAAGAAUAUGAACUAAUGAAAAGGCAUUAUAUUGCUUUGAUAUCUCAGAAUGUAAGAUGGUUACAAAAUAAUUAGGACCAUCUUUAUAUAGUAGAGGAUUCCUAUCUAUGAUACAAUUCUAAUUAUGGAAGUAAAUUUCAUGAUUAGCUAAAAAAACGCCCUUGAUUUGAUCUGUUCCGAGAUUUUCGCCACGAUCUCCGACCAGUCACAGAUAUCUCGCCUUUCGGUUAUUGCGCUUUGCUCGAUGUCUGUCUCGUUUGGUCUCGAUCCCUACCGGCCUCGAUUUUGACAGGUACCUUGGUCCUCGAACUCGAUACCUUAUCCUCGUGCUUUGGUCUGAUCCACUCGGGGGCUGACCUUCGAUGCAAUUCCCUGGUCUCGAUCAAAUAGUAAAAUCGGGUAGGACCGGUUUUAAUCGUAUACAGAUAGUCCCCUCGUUUCCUGGAGCGUAAUGAGAAGAAACGAACUGAGCCUUCGAUUUUAUACCUCGACCUGUCAUGAUGUCAUCCUCAUGAAGUAAGCGACGAAAGCGUCCCGUCAGUACAGUUCCCAAAGUCAUUAAUGAGCGUCAGUUAGUGAUCGGCCAUUAUUGGCUCUGAACCGCCAUCUUCAUCCUAUAAAUGUGCUUUCCUUCUCUUUGCCCAAACUUUAUUCUUGAUCUCUGCUCUAAUCUUCCAAGAUUUUUACAUCCUUUAAGCUUUUCCGUUCUGCAUAAUCUCUAGGUUUCGUUAUCAACCUUCCCUAAAAAUACCAAGCCUUAUUCUCUUCAUCUUUCUUUAAACUUAUACAAAAAUGGCAAAAACGUCAAAAAUUAUUCCUCAAAAGGAAAAAGCUUCUUCAUCGCGGCGGGCCAGCGAUAAAACACCCGUGGAGCCACGCCCUGAUUAGUGUGUUCCCGAGGGGUAUGAACUUACUUCCGAAUUUAAAGUCGAGAAAACUUCGUCGGUCCCUGGUUGAUGCGAGCCAAUGUCGAGAUAUAUAUGCUCGAUAACUGAGGCUGACCUUGAGCAGGUGAAGAAAUACUGCCAUUGGGAAGACAAAGAGGUGGUGAUUUCGGCCCCCGAAGAGGACAUCACUUCCCAUGUGAAAGGGUUUCUAAGUAUUUACACUUACCCUUUCACGCUGGGUCCUGUCGAUCCCGUCAUCAUCGACUUUUGCCGUCAGUAUCAAAUAACCCUAGGUAAGAUCCAUCCCUCUUUUCGGAUUGUCAUUCUGCUCUGAUUCUUCGCGAGGGAUGUCUUUCACCCUCGACCAUCUCAUCAGGUUGUACAGCCUCCAUCUCUAUCGAGGCGGUUAAUACGGCUUCAACGUCGAGCUACCAAGGUGUUGUUCUCGAGCAUAGACAAGGACAAGGAUCGAGGAUGGAUGAGCUAGUUCGUUCGAGUGAAGACUUCUGACCUAAUCCCGGCCGAGAAGAUGCCAUUUCCCGAGAAAUGGAAUAUGAAGCGUAAGUACAAUCCCACCUAUAGCUUCCCUUUAUUGUUUUGUUUCCUUUGCUUCUUCUCAUCAGCAUCCCUUUCUAUGAUGUAGCGGUCUCUUGGAUGCCCGGUGCAAUUCCUAACCUCGAGAGCUGGGUUAGGAAACUGGUUUUGACCUCUUCGUAUGCUGAGUGCUCAUGGCGUGAUUUGGCAAGGGGCCGAUGGGAGUCCAAAGGUCAUGGUAAGCCCCUUUUCACAUAUUUGAUGAUCUUCACUGAAAUGUUUAUUUUCAUACUCACUUGAUUUUCUUUCUUACAGGCCUCAGAGAAAAUGCUGUCAUGAGGCUCCCAUCCGGGGAGGAAGAGUUGUCGCCCCCGGCUAUGAAAUCGGUAAAGGAUUAAAAGAGAAAAAGGGUCUCGACCACUGAGGACCCAAAGCCUAAAAAAAGUAAGGCUCGUAAGCCGAAGAAAGACAUUGUCAUCCUGCCUAAGGAGGUAGUUCAGUGGCUAAGAAAUGAAGAAGAAGAAAACGAGGACGACGACACCAAGCUAGUGGCCCGAGUGAAGAGGAGCACCGAGGCCCCAAAGGCCUAUGAGUCGGUAAGGGUUGGGGAAAUCCAGCCUCGAACCGAGGGGAUCUUGGAGGAGGACUAGGGCAAAAUCUCCGAGUUGUUGGAGACUGAAGAUGCCUCAUGUCGUGAUGAGCAGUCGGCAGGUAUGUGCGAAGGUGCCAUCUCCGAGGCCCUUCAAAAUUAAGAGAACGCCCCAGGUGAUUCAAUUGGGGCAAUAGAAAUUGGGGACUCCGCACCGCUUCCUUCAUUCUCGGAAAGGCAAGUUCGGAAGGCUCAGGCUAUGAAGGCCCCUCAGGUAGAAGGUGUACUCAGAUGGGAGUACCUUUUCCAAAGUUGUUUUGUCGGGGUCGAUGAUGUCGCCGGCUUGAAUGACUUGGACGUAUCGAGGAGGAUCUUGGGUGAAACUUCCUCGAGUUUCAGAUUGACCAGCCAGUUCCCAACCCCUAGUGUCGACCUUGAGUGCAAACGGACCAUCAUUAUUAUGAUCCUGGAGGAUGCACGAGUUUUUGCCGUCCCCGUAGGGGUGGCUAGUUACCUUCAAAGUCUGGUCACCGAGGAGGAUCAAGCUCUGAUAGACGAGGUGGGAGUACCAUGCCUCUUCAAUGAGUCCCAAAAAGCUUGGAAUCGGGUAAGCCCUAACCUUUUCUGUUGACGCCGAUCUUCAUACUUGUGUUUUCCCUCUUUACCUAAUUCUUUUCCUUCUAUCUGUGUAGGCCUUGGUACAUCAUCAUGAGGUUUUCUUCAAGUCUCAAAGAGAGUUCAGCCGAUAUGAAACUGAAAUUCGAGGGCUUAACGAGGAGAAAUAUUUUCUCAAGCUUCUUGGUGAGCAAAAAAGAAAAAGAAAUCAAAGGUCUCUGAGCUGAGUUGGCCGUGCCCAGAAAGAACAAAGUGAACUGACCGAGCAGGUAAAUAAAAUCUUAGAUGCUUAUGGCCUCGGUUUGGGAGUGAUGGCUAAUGAAUCGAUCUCAUAGGUCCAGCAGCUGCAUGAAACGAUUGUGCAACUCCGAGGAGAGCUAGAUGAGGUGAAGGCAGAGACUUCAAUGUGGAAGCAAAAGAUGGAUCGCCUUGCCUCGGAGAAAGAGGCAGCUUGAGCUCAGUUAUCCUCAACCGAAAGGCAACUUGAGGGCAUGAAAGAGAAGAGCUUGGAACAAGACAUGAAAAUUGAGAAGCUGCAUGCUCGGUUGGAGAUAGAGAUUGCAACGGUGAAAUCUGAGGCUAAGACGGUUAAGGCCGAUGCUGAGGCGAUCGCGGUUGCCUACCGAUCUGACGUCGAGGCUGCUCAAGAUCUAGAAAAAGAAGUUUUUGAUGCUGCUCAGGCUCGAGCAUAUUGGAUUGUUGAUCAUGCCAAAUGCCAGUAUCGAAGAGAGACUCUUGAGGAGAUUCAUGCACGUGGCUUUAACCUUGCUGUCGAGAUCGAGAAUGCGAAAGAGCUUGAGGCUGAAGCCAAAGUGUUGCUCUCUUCUGAUAAUGAUGAUUCUGGGAGAGUGAGGGGAUCUGAGAGCGGAGGAGAUCCUGACGACGAGGAUGUAGCUCCCAAGGAAAAUUAGUCACUCGGGCUUUUUUUUUGAAUUUUUGUGUAGGACCCUGAUCGAUCCUUGUAAGUAUUUUCAUAUGUAUAAAAGAUCUCUUUGCUUUCUGACUUGUCUUUGUUUCAAUUUUUGCCUUGUGAAAAUUAUGUUUCGUUCAUGCCAUGUUCACGAGUACAAGGCUUAGGUAAUUUGGUCGAUGUCGGAUUAAUGUAGUCUUUGAAAUCGAGUGAGUACUUGUUCAAACUCGAAAUAGGAUGACCCUUAGGUUUUAGUUGAGUGAAGUUGACUUCUUGAACUCAAAAAUCAAAUGGCCCUUAGGCUCUUGCAUUAGGCCGAUAUGGCCUUAAAAAGAAUGGUUUUUCACCCUUUUCGGCUUAGAAAGUUAAUCAUGUAAAAUUUUGUUUUGCCUUAGCACGAGAUAAAUUUGUACCCACUAGGGUUUUCGAGGGUUAGUGUUAUCGAAAUCCUUUGCUUCGUUACGCCAUAGCGUGAAAGAAACUCGUUUGGUAGUUUGAACAAUUCGGUACACCUUAGGGUUUUCGGUGGUUGAUGUGAUCGAAACCCUUUAUAAAUUUGCUGAGGGUAGCCUUUUAAACCGGUUUUAUAAAAAUAUUUGAAGGCCUGUUUUAUUAUAAAGUUCGUACGUCUCCGAGCUAUAUUGGUUUGGCUAUAGCCUUUGACUUGGGAUUUGCCUCUUGGGCUUGUUUCCCGGUUAUACUUCGAACUUGUUCGAAGUGUUAGUCCCCGAGUCAGGUUGUCGUGGCCUAUAAAAACGAGGGUUGUCUUUUUAAGGUCUUAUAAUCUCGAGAUUUUAGUUAUUCGGUUACAUCGAUUUUUCGGACGGCAAUCCCUGAGUACGGAUAAGUUGUUCGAACUUUAGUUGUGAUUGGCCCUUAAGCCCAUUUCCACAACAGACCAAAAGUAAGAAAUUGUAAAGUAAAAUUUUCUCUAAGGCAUGAAACAUUUGGCAAGGAAAAAUACUUCUCUGAAUAGAUUAUACAUGCGUACAUGUUUGUAUUUAGGGCUCGAGUAAUAUACAUGGGCAUGGUUCGUUUGACCGUUUGGCUAUUACAAAGUUUUACCUAUCGAGACCCUGUUGACACGACGACCUUCCUUGUAACAAAGUUAACAUCCGAGGGUGAUGCCCCUAGUAUUCGAGGUUGAUUGUAAAGAAGCCUUGCAUAUUGUCGAGUUACUGUAAGUUAGCACGAACAAUGGUUGCCUCAUUAAAAACCUCGCCGGAAAAACCCAUUUGGGACAAAAACCGGUCUAAGGAAAAAAGAGUGCAACGCUUGCUUUUAGACCUAAGGACUUUGUGAUGAAAGAUCCUUCAAUAUCUUCGGUCGAACACCUGCAAUCGGUUAGUAUACAAUAUAAAUGAAAAUGGAGAAGGUCGUACCUUAGCAGUAAUAUUGUUUGAGGAGUGAUAUGUUCCAAUUAUUUGGUAAUUGCUCGCUGUCCAUAAUGCCAAGUUUGUAGGAUCCUUUUCUGACAAUAUCGAGGACCUAAUAUAGUACUUCCCAGUUCGGGCCAAGUUUUCCUUCAUUUGGAUUGUGAGGAUUAAUGAUGACCUUUCUCAGAACUAAGUCCUCGAUUUUAAAGUGUCAAAGAUUGGCUCUUUGGUUGUAAUACCUCUCGAUCCAUUGUUUUUGCGUGGCCACUCGAACGAGGGCGGCUUCCCGCCUUUCAUCUAGUAAUUCGAGGCUCGUAUUCAUAGCCUCGUGGUUUGACUCUUCCAUUGCAUAUCGAAACUUGAAGCUAGGUUCCCCGACUUAGACCGAGAUCAAAGUUUCGGCAAUGUAGACUAAAGAGAACGGUGUUGCCCCUUACUGGAUUUUGACGUUGUUCGAUACGCCUAAAGGACCUCGGGCAAUACUUCUCUCCAUUUUCCUUUGGCUCCGUUCAAUAUUUUCUUCAGAUUUUUGAUGACGGUCUUGUUUGUCGAUUCGGCAUGUCCGUUCCCACUAGGAUGGUACGAUGUUGAUAGGAUCCUUUUUAUUUUGUGAUCUUCGAAAAGCUUCAUCACUUUGCUGCCGACGAAUUGCUUUCCAUUGUCACAUAUGAUCUCGGCAGGCAUUCCGAAUCGACAUAUAAUGUGAUCCCAAAUGAAGUCUAUAACUUAUUUUUCUCUGACUUUCUCGAAGGAUUGUGUUUCAACCCACUUAGAAAAAUGGUCAGUCAUAAACAAAAUGAAUUUAGCUUUACCUGGGGCCGAUGGAAAAGGGCCGACAAUAUCCAUCCCCCAUUUUAUGAACGGCCAUAUAGAUAGGACUAAGUAAAGUUACUAUCCGGGCUGAUGGAUCAUCGGCGCAUACCUUUGACAUUUGUAGCAUUUUUGAACAAAUUCUUUAGUGUUUUUUUCCAUAUCGGCCAAAUAAUAUCUUGCUCUGAUGACUUUGUGAACCAAUGACUCGGCACCGGAAUGGUUUCUGCAAGUGCCCUUAUGAAUUUCUCGUAGAACGUAAUCGAUGUCUCCUGGUCCCAAACAUUUUGCUAAAGGUCCAUCGAACGUUCUCCUAUAUAGUGUUCAAUCCUCGACCAAAGUGGAUCGUGCAGCCUUAGUACGUAGAGUCCUUGAUUCUUUAGGAUCCGAUGGAAGCUUCUCAUUCUUUAGUUAUUCGAUGUACUUAUUCCUUCGAUCUCAGGUUAGACUUUUGGAGUUUAUCUCGGCGUGUCCUUCUUCGAUUACUGACCUUGAAAGUUGUACAAUGGUCCCCGAGCAAAGCUCAUCAUCUUCGAUCGACGACCCCAAAUUUGUAAGGGCAUCGACCUCGCUAUUUUGUUCUCGAGGUACAUGUUUUUGUCGCGCCCCUUUUUUUCCUCCGCGGGGAGAGAAGUCCAGGUUCCGACGUUCAUGGGGGUAAUAACUCAUUUCCUUUUGGGAAUUUGGGGUUUGAAGAGUCGCCACCUAACGGAUUAUGGUGCGUUAGGGCACCUAGAGCGAUUAACUCUUAGACUAGUUUGUAUUACCAGAGAUUUAGAGUAAGGGCUCGAAAUAACCUUGAGGGGAAGGUGUUAGGCACCCCUCUUGGUCCACAACGGUGGGUCCCGACCGAACUUAUACUAUGUGAAUUAGUCAUUUUAGCAAAUNNNNNNNNNNNNNNNNNNNNNNNNNAAACAAUUUUAACACGUUCUUGCAAGUAAAGGCAUGUUUUGACAUUCUAAGUACAUGUAUGGCUCAAGUAAUGAAAACCAGGUAAAAGGUUUGAACAUAUGUAAAGAGAAGUAAAUUCAUUUAAAAUAUAUAGGAGUUGGGAAAAGAGGGGUCCUAGAUUGAUUAGCCUAUAGGAUCACCCCACACAAUGCCCGGUAAACACUCCUUAAUGAGGGGAUACACGUGACAUUAGCGCGUAGUCAUCAUAUCCUUACUACCCAAUUCCCUCCCCUGGGUCUCAUAGCCUAAAGCAUUCCAGUAACCUUAAAAGAGAAAGUCAUGAAAGAGUCAACAUGUUUAACAUAUAAAAUAGGGUAAAACAUGAAUAGUCAAGAUUCCACAUAACUUUAACAAAACAAAUAGUUAGAACGGCACUGAUUCAAGGAGAAUGUUACAGGUCUUAACAUGAAUAGUCAGGACGAACACAAACAUAUAGAAUCAGUGAAAGGUCAAACUAAGAAAUUUAGUAGAAGCAUAUUAGGACAAGAAAAUCAUGAGAAAUCACAAGAACCCAAAGCAAGAACACAAUCAGAUGUACUAAUACUCAGAAACCAAACGAAGAACCUCAAAAAUUAGGGCUUUUGGUAAAAAAGAGCUAAGGCUGUAGCAGGCUUAUAAAAUCAGUCAAAACAUAUGAGAAGCAGAAGAUUAAACACAAAAAGUCAUCAAACAUUUUGUAAAAUAUAUUCCGGAAACCCUAGUUUAGAAAAAAGAUGAAAAUCACUUGAAAAUCAUAUGAUUCUUGUAAAGAUCCUUAAGGCUGUUGUAAAACUCACAUGAAACAAAUCCAAAUCAUCUUAGAUCUGUACAGAUCUAAGAGGUUUAGAAAAGAAAUUAGGAUUUCGAAGAGAACAACAUAGAGGUGAAGAAACAUGUUUUGAAAACCAUAGAUCGUAGUCAAUAUGGGACGAUCUUACUCGGAAUCACACUGGAAUAGCCUAAAAUAGGCGAGAGAGGAACCAUAGAUGCAAGUCAACUAGCCCUGGUCCCUUGAGGGCCCUGGAGAUGGCAAGAUUAACGUGAGGGAGGCCAUUGGAGGCUUGGGAGGUGGUGAGAAGUCAUCGAAGAUGGCCAUGGACGAGGGUCAGUGAGGUUUGAUUAGGGUUAGGUUGAGAGCUUUUGAGAGAUGAGAGGAACAGAUAACAGCGGUGAGAAGAGGGAAAUGAUUAGGGUUUGGGGGUGGGGGUAUAGGUUAGUUUAUUUUAGGAAGGGUCGUUUGUGGCCGUUGAUCUCUACGAUCAACGACCGGGAUUAAAGGGUUUUGGGGGGGGCAGAUCGGGUAGUUGGGUUUGGGAUGGGUUAUUUAAUUGGAGAUUGGGCUGGUAAUUGGGUUAGAUUGGGGCUGAAAUUGAAAAUAAAAAUAGGCUAGAUUUUAAAUAGCCACUUUUAACAACUAUAUAAUUUAUAAAAUAAUAAAUGAUUUCUAAAAAAAAUAUUUUCAUGUGCUAAAAUAAUUUAAGAUAGUUUUUUAACAUUUUAAAAAUAUAGAAGAUCAUUUUAUGCAUCAAUAAUGUAAUUAUGCAUUAGUAGGGCUAUUAUUGUAAAGAUAUGCAAUUUAGCCUAAAAAUGUAAAUGCAAUUAUAAAAAUGCACUAAAAUAUUUAAAUAAUAUUUUGGCAUAAAUAAAGAAUUUAGAUGACUAAAUCACCACAAAAAUAAUUUGAAGGAUAAUUAUUGGAAAUUUUAUAAAUAAAAAGGAAAGAAAUAAAUCAAUUUGGAGCUUUUAAAAAUUAUAGAAAAAUUUUAAAAAAUGCUUAUGCAUACUUAUAACUGCUUAUGUGCUAUUUUGAAAGUAUAUCCAUGUAUUAAAGGUAUAUGAGGAAAAAUCGGGUAUCAACAGCUGCCGCUCUUUACCUAGGAAGGAUAAAAGAGUUUUUGGGUAAAGAAAUGAUGGCCAAUUUUGACCGGACGAGAUGUUUUGAAAGACAGAGAUCAGACUCUAGUCUUGAGUUACCUACAUAUCCCUGGUUUUAUAGGAAUCAGACCGUGUGUAGUUCUGGAUUCAUUGGCGGAAUAUACCGAUGAAGUCAUUACAAAAACGGACACGGGAUGCAAAAGCGGCUAUGGUGAGCGGUUAAGGUUUGAGACAAUUGAGGGAACUGGAGCAAGGUCGCUCCUGCUAGGAUAGCAGUUGCUUGUUGGUCACCUACAUAUGAAAAGAUGUUGCCGACAUGUAUUUGCGCGAAAGUUUAAACGUUAUGUAGAUUCCCUUUGGACCAUGAAGGCUGUCCUUGGACGGUUAAAGAUGGCGUCCUUGGACUAUGACGUCCUGGGCCAUGAACCAUGAAAUGUUGUUCUCGGGCCACGCAGAUGGUGCCUCCGAGCCAUGACGCCUUUGAAUAAUGAUAUGCAAAUUUGANNNNNNNNNNNNNNNNNNNNNNNNNNNNNNNNNNNNNNNNNNNNNNNNUUAUGCAAACAGGGAGGCAAGGAUUAGCCUCAUGCAAAAUAGGGAGGCAAGGAUUAGCCUCAUGCAAAUAGGGAGGAAGGGAUUAGCCUCAUGCAGAUAUGGAGGUAGGGAUUAGCCUCAUGCAAGUAUGGAGGCAAGAAUUAGCCUCAUGCAGAGAGUAGUAUAUGUCUUAGCUGGAGAUAUAUUCGGUGUCUGAUCUCCUGAUUGAUAGCGAAUUUGUUACUUGUAUAUAUUUGCGGAUGCUAUCGCUACGUCAGAUGUUCCUGCGUUCAAAAAGAAUUGUAAGUUUUGUGAGGGGAGGUUGGUUCGUGCCUUCAUCCGCUGGCCUUUCUUUGCUCCGUUCUGGAGGCCUUUUCGAGUUUUCCUGGGUAACACCUGACUGUUACGGAAAUACAAUUUUCAAAAAAUAUGUAACCAUUGAUAAAAAUAGAGUCAUUUUAUAAACAUAUUGAUAUAUUAAGUAAUUUUAGAUGAACUAGCGACUGUAACACAUCUCAAAGGCAUUGCAACUCUCUUAUAUUGGAAUUUUGAGGGCCCCCUUCAAAAUUCUGCCCCAGUUUGGUAGAUGAUCUUUUGACCAUUUGCGGAUAAUGGGCCUUGCUAAACCUUCUUUGGAAUUUUGAGAAUCCUUCUCAAAAUUCUGCCCCAGUUUCUUAACCGAUUACUGACCAUCUAACACAUGUUGGCAUUCGCUGGACUUGCUCUGGAAUUUUAAGGGUCCUGCCCCAGUUUCUGAUCUUAGGGGGAAAUGGAAAUUUUAUUAUGAUAUGACCGAACCCAUAAUGUUGCCUAUGCAUCCCCUCUUAAACGGGAAUCAGGUCAAGUGUAGUUCAAUUACAUCAGAUGAGGAAAUGUAAAUAAGCUAAGCAUAGUAUCUCUUGACUGCGUUUGAAUUGAUUGGUUUUGGCCAGAUUUCUCCAUUCAUUUCUGCAAGUAUGAGUGCUCCUCCUGUCAAUACCCUGUGAACCAUGUAAGGACCUUGCCAGUUGGGAGUGAAUUUCCCUUUGGCUUCAUCUUGAUAUGGGAAGAUCUUCUUCAACACCAGUUGUCCUGGAUGCUGUAUCAUGAAUGAUAAAGUGGGCAAUGCAUCGGCGAACUCGUUCUAAAUUCUAGGCACACGUCGAAACUCUAUAUUUGUGAACUUCUUUCUUAAUUCUUGCACAUGGUGCAAAUAUGGCAAUAACUUAGAAUUUUUGGUGGCCCAUUAUCCUGUACCUGAUACACAAGCAGAUCUGAAUCGCCGAUUACCAGCAGUUCCUGAAUAUUCAUGUCGAUUGCCAUGUUGAGUCCUAGUAUGCAGGCUUCAUAUUCCGCCAUGUUAUUGCCUUAUUGGUGCAAGAAAAUCUGAGUUUAGUAGAUAUCGGAUGAUGUUGACCGGUUUCUGAUACCAAAACUGCUCCAAUGCCCACUCCUCUGAAAUUUGCGACUCCAUCAAAGAACAUCCUCCAACCGUCGUAUGCUUCGGUAAUGUCUUUUCCUAAAAAUGAUACUACUUCAUUAGGAAAAUACAUUUUCAAGGGUUCAUAUUCCCCUCCUAUCGGGUUUUCAGUAAGAUAAUCUACCAAUUUCUGUCCUUGAUCGCCAUUUGAGUUACAUAGACGAUGUCGAACUCACUCAACAUUAUUUGCCACUUGGCUAACUUCCCAGUCAGCAUGGGCUUCUGGAAUAUGUACUUCAGAGAAUCCAUCCUGGAUAUAAGGUAGGUGGUGUAGGCACAAAAGUAAUGCCUCAAAUUUUGAGUUGUCCAGGUAUAAGCACAGCAAAUGCAUUCCAGCAGAGAGUAGCGUGCUUCGUAAGGUGUGAACUUCUUACUCAAGUAAUAUAUGGUUGCUCCUUUCUUCAUGUCUUGUUAUGUUGUCCCAAAAACAUCUGAAGGCUCCUUCUAAAACAGAUAGAUAGAGUAGCAAAGGCCGUCCUGGUUCUGGCGGUACCAGAACUAGUGGUAUGGACAGGUACUCCUUGAUCUUGUCAAAAACUUACUGACAAUCCUCGUCCCAACUUGUCGCGGCAUCUUUUCUUAACAUCUUGAAGAUGGGUUCACAUAUAACUGUGGAUUGUGCUAUGAAGCGACUGAUAUAGUUGAGACGUCCUAGGAAGCUCAUCACGUCCUUUUUGCUCCUAGGUGGUGGUAAGUCUUGAAUAGCUUUGACCUUAGACGGAUCUAGCUCGAUCCCUCAGCGACUGACGAUGAAUCCCAGUAACUUUCCCGUGGGAACCCCGAAUGCACAUUUUGCGGGGUUCAGCUUUAAGUUGUACCUCCUUAGCCUGUCAAAGAAUUUUCUCAAGUCCGAUAUGUGAUCUACGACUCUCUUGGAUUUGAUAAUGACAUCGUCCACAUAUACUUGUAUCUCCUUGUGUAUCAUAUCAUGGAAGAUGGUUGUCAUGGCUCUCAUGUAGGUAGGAACAACAUUCUUUAGACCAAAUGGCAUCAUCUUGUAGCAGUAUACUCCCCAAGGUGUGAUAAAAGCUGUUUUCUCCGCGUCUUCUUCAUCUGUCCAGAUCUGAUGAUAACCCGCGAAGCAAUCUACAAAGGAUUGGAUUUCAUGCUUGGCACAGUUAUCGAUCAAAAUGUGUAUAUUUGGCAGUGGAAAGUCGUCCUUGGGACUUGCUCUAUUUAAAUCCCGAUAGUCAACACAUACCCUGACUUUUCCAUCCUUCUUCGGAAUUGGCACAAUGUUAGCUAACCAGGUUCGGUACUCGACCACCCUGAGAACUUUGGUUUUGAUCUGCUUGGUAACUUCCUCCUUGAUUUUCAGGCUCAUGUCGGGUUUGAAUUUUCUGAGUUUCUGCUUUACUGGCGGACACACGGGAUUAGUAGGCAACUUGUGAGCCAAUAUGGACGCGCUCAAACCGGUCAUGUCAUCAUAUGACCAUGCAAAAAUGUCCUUAUACUCUUUUAGGAAACGGAUGUACUCUUCCUUCUUUGUUGGUGACUAGUGAAUGCUGAUGUGAGUCUCCUUGACGGUCUCGGCAUCCCCCAAAUUUAUUGCUUCGAUUUCGUCCAGAUUGAACUUGGGCUUAUUCUCAAAAUUUUCAACUUCCCUUACAACUUCCUCGGGUAUCUCAUCUUCUUCAUCUGAAUCACUAUCCUCGUGUUAUGUUUGCCUCAUUACAUGUCACAGUCACCGGUUCAUCAAGAAAAGUAAUAAUAAUGUUGUAGAAAAGAAAAGUGUAGAAAAUAGUAGUGAAUAAUAAAGAGCAAAUGCAUUUGAUUAAAAUUAAACAACAUCCAGACAAGUGCGGCUUGAUGAAUCGAGCAUUUAUUUUGAAACAAGUAAGUCUUUAAAUCAAAAUUACUAAAAAUCUUAAAUGCCUAGAAUGGCUAUAGAAAGAAAAUUUGCCAAGCUACCCAGGAACUCGGCGGGCCCGGGAUGGUUUCCGGAGAACAGCUCCCUUCUUUACAGUCUAAAUAGUGAGGCCUUCUUCCACCUCCUCCUCAAUUAUGGCACUACAGUCCAUGUCUUCAUCCUCCAAGAACAGAUUUGUCAACCCAACUAAUGCUUCCUCUUCUGUAGUUCCCCAUAUUGUAUCAGCUUAGUGAAAAGCUUGAUCUAGACGUGACACUGGUUGCUUAAGAGCGUAAUAUUGUCUGCGCCAUAGAGGCGACCAAUCAUUGUAUUCUUGCCAUGUGUACUGAUAUCCGAGCCCAAAAGUAGUACCAUGACCCUUCAGCCGUAUUGGUUUAGUAAUACCUUGAAGGUUCUUCCCCAGCCCUUUGUCGGACUCAUACCCAGACCAUGCCAGUAUGCUUUAUAUUUUGCUACUCUAUCAUUUGUCCUUCUCAACGGCGUUGAUACGCUCAAUGUGAUGAUAAGUUUCUCCCUAGCCUUCUUCUAUGCCCAAUAGCCGAGAUGCUUUGACUGGUGUAAAUGGGGUUACUCCCAUCUCCGUGAAUGAUCACCUCCUGAUGAUUCCAUUUGAAUUUCAUGAUUUGAUGUAGUGUAGGAGGCACGGCCCCAACGGCAUGGAUCCAUAGUCAUCCCAAUAUAAGAUUCUAUGAGGCUAGUAUAUCAAGCACCCGAAACUCGACGUCGAACCAAGUUGGCCCCAUCUACAAGAAAAGGUUGAUUUCCUUGAUUGUGGCCCUUUGGGACCCAUCAAAAGCUUUCACGUUCAUGCUUUCUACCCAUAUUUCAUGGAAACCUUUGCCCAACCUUUUAAGAGUGUCCAACGGACAAAUAUUGAGGCUCGAACCUCCGUCAACUGGGACCUUGGCAAUGAAUUUGUCUUUAAAUUGCACUGUGAUGUGCAAUGCUCGAUUGUGAUUCAACCCUUCAGGCAGUAGCUCAUCUUCAUGAAAGAUGAUCUUAUAACUUUCCAGUAUUUGCCCUACCAUAUUGGCCAUUUCUCCACCAAUGAUGUUAUUGGGUACAUAAGCCUCACUCAACCAUUCUUAUGUGCCUCUGAAUUUUACAACAGUGAUAGGAUAGAUAUCUGAGUUGGGGUUUUGUUUAGAUGGUCAAUGAUGGAAUACUCCUUUGCUUGUACUUUCCUCUAUAGGUCAUCUGGCCCUGUUUCAAUGACAGUCUUCCUAGUAGUGGCAUCUUUGCUUGGUCCUCCCAAAUGUCCAGGCAUAUAGACUCUUCCAGUCCUAGUCAUUCCUUAUGCAGCAUCAGAUUCCUCUACCUUUGCCUUCCCUUUUCGCCGAGCUUCGACAACGUAAUCCUAGGGUAUUGCUUUUGAGACGAAAGGAGGUGUGGUUAACACUAUCACUGUGAAAGGUGUAACCACUUCUACUUCAAAUGGAGCGGGGGUGGCCGUAGGUGGAGCUACCUUUACCUCAAAUAGAACCGGUGCAGCUACCUCGACCUCGAUUGGUAACUGAGUCUGUACCACGAUAGGAGUAAGCGUGACUGCAACUUUAAAGUCAUCACCUUCUCGAAUAAGCCUAAUCAACCCCUAAAGGUCCCAUUCAUCGUUCGUCUCUAUCACAGGUACUCCGCCACCUCUAUGAUUAGGGAGGGGGUUAUUGUGGACAUUGGGUGCCACUUUCUUUGCCUGUGUGACCUUGUUGUCAAUUAGCGUCUGGAUCUUAUCUUUCAAUUUUUGGCACUCAUCAGUGAUGUGCCCCUUCAUACCGGAGUGGUACGCAUAAGUUGUAUUCGGAUUGACCCAUUGGGAUGGAUUCUGUAAUGCCACGACGAGAAUGGGGGUGACAUAACCAGUGGCUUUCAACCUUUCAUACAGUUGGUCGAUGGGUUCAGCAAUGGCGGUGCAUUGUCUAGGUGGAUUGCGGUCGAAAUUAGGUCUUGGUCUUGGAAAGUUUUGGCUAGUUGAAGGUGAUUGGAAAUGAGAUGGUUGAGAGUUAUAGGUGUGAUGGAUAGUGGCUGGUUGGGAAUAUCUGGGAGAUGAGGGUUGAUAUGUGGGAGGUGGUGCUUGGCAUGUGGGUGGAGGUGUUUGAUAUGUGGGUGGAGGUGUUUGAUAUGUAAGUGGAGAUUUCGGGCCCUGAGCCACCAUUACCGCCCCAACAUCUCUCUUCAUUGAUAUAGCGCCUGAUUGUAAUGCCUUAUUUGUGGCCUGUAGUGCCUCAAAAUUCGUUACUAUCCCACUCUUGAUUCCCUCUUCGAUUCUUUUUCCAAGUUGAUGAUAUCAGAGAAUUUAUGAUUUUUGAUAACCAUCAACCUUUCAUAAUAUUGUGGAUCCUAUGCUCUGAAAAAGAAUUUGUUCGUCUGUUCCUCAUCCAAAGAUUGCCUGACCUUGGCCGCUUCUGACCUCCAAUGAGUAGCGUACUCAUGAAAGGUUUUAGUAGGUUUCUUCUUAAGAUUCUGGAUGUAGAAAACAUCUGGUGUGUUCUCUGUGUUGAACCUAAACCGAUCCAUGAAAUCUGAUGCCAUACUUACCCAAUUGGACCAUUUAUUGGGGUCUUGGCUGAUGUACCAAGACAAAGCAUCCCCAGUAAGACUCCUCAUAAAGAGUUUCAUUCGGAUUUUCUCGUCUUUCUCGACCCCAACAAGCUUGUCACAAUAGGUCCUCAGAUGAACUCUGGGAUCACCUGUACCGUCGAAUAUCUCGAAUUUGGGAGGUUUGUAUCCCUCCGGUAGUUCUACAUCUGGCUGUAUGCAUAAGUCAUCAUAGUUCAAACCUUCCAUUCCUUUGUCGCAUUCAACGCCCUGAACUCGACUCUUCAACUUCUUGAGUUCUUCAGCCAUGUUUUUAAUAAGCGGGUCCUUCUCGGAGGAUUCCGGUGUAUAUGAGAUUGGUUGGAUAGAGUGAGGUACGAUUUCUACGUAUAUAUGGUUGCUUUGAUGGGUGCUAGGGACUUGGGUGUAAUGAUAGUCAUUGGUUGAGUUUUGAGGAUCGGAAAUGGGUUGUGGUGUGUUUUGGGGAAUGUGAUAAGUGGCGGUUGGUGGGUAAUGAAUUGGUUGAAGGUGGUGUUGUGGCGGAGUUGGUAUUGGCAAGGGAUUGAGAUUUUGGGGUGGAGUUGCGUAUUGAUUUGGUGCAGGAGGAUUUUGUGGAUGUUGAUUUUGUGUGUUUUGGGGAGGUACUGGGUUCUUUGUGUUAUUUUGGUUGAAAUCAGGGAUUUUCUAAGUUGCGAACCUGCUCAAAUUCUCCUUGUAAUUCCAAUAUCUUUUGUUCCAGUCUCAAGAUUAGAUCAUUUGGUGUCGGAGUACUCCAUCCAUCUAAAGUUUCUGCGUUCUCAAUAUUCUCCUUUCGGAUACCACUUAAGCCGUCCAUUUUUACUUUUCCUCUACCUUUUGUAUUGCUUGGAGGAGGAGGAGGUAGAGGGCCUCUAGAUCUGGUGUGAUAUGCUGAUGAGGCCAGUCUGAGCGAACCAACCUUAAGGGAUAGGAAUAAAGAAUAAAGAAAAAACAAAAAGGUAGAUAAGUCAAUGAGGAUUCUGAAAUGCAUGCAGUAUUUAAACACAUAUUACGGGAAUGUAAAUUCGUGUCCUAAUUUGAAAGCCUCGUUAUGCCCAAGGUAGGCCUAGCGAUAAGUAAAUUUGGAGAACUUUUUAGAUGCCAGUAAAUGCUUCAUUUCAUAAUGUGAAAAUAGACGAAUCUAAAAACGACACUAAGGCAAUAGAAAAGUAAGUCACUAUUGGCACAUGGCCUUAUUACAUUUAGGAAAGCAAAUAAAUCUAAUCUAUUUGGUCUCGGAAGGACCUUCCUCAGGCUGAAUGCUCCUGUCGAUCAAAUCCCCCAGUUCGUGUAGGUUCAUCAGUAAGAAUGCCUUUGCCAAAUGUCCUCCUUCGUUUCCCUCAGCAUUCUAGUAGUCGGUGACUCUCUUCCCCACUCUUCCUUCCAAUUCCAUCAGACUCUAUUCCAGAUAUUCCAGCUUUUUGCUAGAUUUGACGGCCCUCUCUUUCCAUUCAUUGAUUUGGUCACUUGAUGGAAGAUUCCUCCACCAGUCUAGCAAGAGUGAGGGUGUGCUAACCAUACCGAAGUUGGGGACCUCGUGCCUCAUUUUCUGCAAAACAAAAAGGUUAGGCCCUUUUUCCCCACUAGACUCGACUAUUUAUACAUUCAUGAUUAGCAUAUUGGCAUUUAGUUCUCCAAAUUAAUGCACAGAACGUGGUCAUGUCCGUUAGGAUUAUGGAAACCCCGAUGGACUUUUGGAUAAGGCUUGUCUUAAAAGAUUAUUAUGUGGACAACAUAUUAAUCCGACUAGGUUUGACCAUGAUGCAUGUGCAAUUAUAAUUAGAGUAAGGUUACUAUGAGGGUCUAGACUGGUACCCUCAAGCGGGAAACUUGAGGGGGAAAGGCACAGAAUCGUCGACUGCACGGCUGAUCGACUAGUUUUACUGCAAAUAAGCCUUUCCGAAUUUAAGUAUAAUAAAUAGGAAGAGCGCAACCACUCAUCAAACGCUGCUAUAUGAUUUAAUAUGCACGAGUGGAAUAUGAUGUGGAUCAUGAUUUAUGCAGAAAUAAAUAGCAUGUAGUCAAGUAUUUGCACGUAAGAAAAUAAUAAAUGCGGUAUUUAAAUAAUUAAAAGAAAGUUACAGAAAAAGAAAACAAGGAGACAAGUCAGUUUCAGGAAUAAAGAAAUCAUAAAUGCUUGAAAAUAGACAGUUAAAUUCAAAUAAGGGGAAAGGGGUACGUGGGAUGGAGCAUGCUUGGACUAAUUCACAAACGAUAAGUUCGUUAUAGUAAGAGCCUAAAGACAUCCCCAGCAAAGUCACCAAGCUGUCGUGCCCCCUUUUUUCCUCUGCGGGAGAGAAGUCCGGGUUCCGACGUUCAUGGGGGGUAAUAACUCAUUUCCUUUUGGGAAUUUGGGUUUUGAAGAGUCGCCACCUAACGGAUUAUGGUGCGUUAGGGCACCUAGAGCGAUUAACUCUUAGACUAGUUUGCAUUACUACAGAUAUAGGAUAAGGGCUCGAAAUAACCUUGAGGGGAAGGUGUUAGGCACCCAUCUUGAUCCACAACGGUGGGUCCCGACUGAACCUAUACUAUGUGAAUUAGUCAUUUUAGCAAAUAAAUAAUUUUAACACGUUCUUGCAAGUAAAGGCAUGUUUUGACAUUCUAAGUACAUGUAUGGCUCAAGUAAUGAAAACCAGGGAAAAGGUUUGAACAUAUGUAAAGAGAAGUAAAUUCAUUUAAAACACAUAGAAGUUGGGGGAAAAGAGUCCUAGGUUGAUUAGCCUAUAGAAUCACGCCACACAAUGCCCGAUAAACACUCCUCAAUGAGGGGAUACAUGUGACAUUAGCGGUAGUCAUCAUAUCCUUACUACCCAAUUCCCUCCCCUUGGUCAUAGCCUAAAGCAUUCUAGUAACCUUGAAAAUGUCCUAUGCGUGUACUACUCGUCCCUUCCUUGUGGCCUGGAGGUAUUUUAGGACCUCUACUUUUGGACAGUUCUAGACCCUCCUAAGUUAUUUAAAGGAGAAAAGUCUAAGCGCCAAUCAAAACAGUUAGGAUUGCACAUAAAGAAGGAACAAGUAAUGGCUCACAUUUUUUACCUCCACAAGCAAAACAAAUAAAUGCAUGUCUCAGACAAAUGUUUCAGGUACUUAACAAAACUUAGAACAUGAUAUCUAGGUGAGCAGGAAAUAUACAGCAUGAAUUAGGACCAAGUGUCAAAGACCUAUUAGCUUGCCUACUGAUUUUUUAGACCUGUUAAAUCUGCACAUUCUCAAAUAACAAAGCACGGUUUUAUAGUUGCAGAAUUUAAAUCGUCCUAGAGGCUUGCCUAAAUGCAUAACAGUGACGUCCUAAAAGCAUAGUAUCUAUAUUGAUUAGGAAUGUAGUAAAAUAGUGAGCAGUUUUAAAAUGGACAAUUUGGGAUCCUAUAGACAUGCUUUCUAGCGGCAUUAAUUUAAGGCAGUGUUUGAACACUCAUUCAAAGAAACGGACAGUUAAUUAAACCAAUUCAAACAUGAAUUAAACUAAUUUGUUUAACUAAACUUGUUUUUAAUUCUAUAGGCAUGAUUUAUAUUAGAGCUGAUUUUAAUUCCUAUAGGUAUGGUAUCUAAUUAUUAAAAUCUGACUCUUGAACUUAUAUGCAUGAUUUCUAAGAAGACGAAUGUGAAUACAUGUUGUAACGAAAACUGAACUUCAAUUACUUUAUAGGCAUGAUAUCUAAUUAUAAAGUUGAUUUUAACCCAAUAGGCAUGAUCUCUAUUAUUAUAGUCAUUUAGAUCCUACAGGCAUAGUUUCUAAUGUUGUGGAAGUAAAGCAAACAUAGUAAACACAUUUGAAUUAACACAACCCUAUAGGCAUGGUAUCUACCCAAGCUACCAAACAUAUAUAUAUGACUACCCACCCUUUUCACUAAUCACCCCAAUGUUGUUUACAAUAAUUAUUACAGACCAAUGAAUAAAAAUACAUAAAUAAAUAGUAGUUAAUCUAUAGGGAGCUUGUAGUAGGCCUAAAUGACUUCCCAAGCCUCCAAUAGCCUCAAAUGCCAAAGUUCCAUAGACAAUUUCGUGUCUAGGUGUGUCAGAGUUCCCUAAGGACAUGCUUUCAAGGAUCCCGAGCAGUGCUCACACCUAAACCUUUUCUUAAAUAAUAACUGACUUAGGUGUAGUGUGGAAAGGUCAGCUCUGACAUGCCAGAGUUCAGAGAGAUCUCAAGGAUCUUAAGGCAGUACACAUGUCAGAGGGGCAGAACCUAGUAUUCUAAGAGUAAAGUGAGAGUGCAUAACAGUUGAAGGAGUUUAAUAGAAAGGUAUAAAGACUGAAAAGAACUUUUUUGAAAAUCAUGUACUGAAACAGUUUGAGGAGAGUACCAAAAUAGUAGACAAUGAAUUGGUCAUAAGAGAAAUCCAGAUUCAGAAAAGAACACUUAACAAACAGAUUUCACAUGGGGAUAAAAGGAUUGGGGGCACAUAAGAGUCACAUUGGGGUACAUGGAUAGGGUAUAGAGGAAACAUAUAGUCAACAAACUGCAUACAACACUUCGGAUCUUAAAGACUCAGUAGUUAAGACAUAGAUAAUAGUUGGCGUGUCUUGAAUAUGAUUGAACAUAUAGUUUGGACAUGCUAGGUGAAAAAGUAAGCAGGAAAGAGUGCAGAAUAUAAAGCAUGCAUUGAUCAAGACAAAAUUUAGACAUGAUGAGCAAAGAAGUAAACAGGAAUACAAGUUGAAUUCAUAACUGAUGAACUAGUGUAGGAAUGAAACACAUAGGGUUUGGAUUUCAAAACUUAACUAGAGACAUACCAGUUGAAGAAAAUGGUGCAGAAUAUAAAGCAAAUAAAGUUCCAAUAUCUAGCCUUGGAUUUCAGCCGGCUAGAUCAGUGAGUAUCAUAGGUAGCAGAAGAGAAAGAGAACUUUAGAAUGUAAAGAUUAGUGUUUUUUGAACUAUGUCGUUGUUCAGAACUUAAAAUAAGAGGGGGUUUAUAUAGUAAUCAAAAGCUUAACAUAUACGAUAAGAGAUCAAUUAAGUAGCAAAUCAGAGAAGUCACAUAUAAAUCAGCAAGUCCUUCCCUUAAUCAAGGGACAAUCAAAUCAACGGUAAAACAUGCUAGGUAUUUAAGGAAAAAAAUCAAAUAAGGUUUGGGUAUAUAGUAGGUAAUUAGGGGUAAAUGAACAGAAGUUUCAAUUAACAAAUCAGUAAGAAUCAGCAAGAUACAAACAUGGCAAGGAAAAAUUAAUUAUGGCAGGCAAUUCAAUCAAAUCGAGUAAAGAGGUAAGAAUCGAAAGUUUAAGGGAAAAUGUUCAAAUUAAACCGGGAAAUAAGGAAUUCAGAAUAAUCAAGGGUUCAAUCAAAGAGAAAGUCAUGAAAGAGUCAGCAUGUUGCAUAUAAAAUAGGGUAAAACAUGAAUAGUCAGGAUUCCACAUAACUUUAACAAAACAAAUAGUUAGAACGGCACUGAUUCAAGGAGAAUGUUACAGGUCUUAACAUGAAUAGUCAGGACGAACACAAGCAUAUAGAAUCAGUGAAAGGUCGAACUAAGAAAUUUAGUAGAAGCAUAUUAGGACAAGAAAAUCAUGAGAAAUCACAAGAACCCAAAGCAAGAACACAAUCAGAUGUAUUAAUACUCAUAAACCAAACGAAGAACCUCAAAAAUUAGGGCUUUUGGUACAAACGAGCUAAGGUUGUAUCAGGCUUAUAAAAUCAAUCAAAACAUAUGAGAGCAAAAGUUUAAACACAAAAAGUCACCAAACAUUUUGUAAAAGAAAUUUCGGAAACCCUAGUUUAGAAAAAAAAAUGAAAAUCACUUGAAAAUCAUACGAUUCUUGUAAAGAAACUUAAGGCUAUUGUAAAACUCACAUAAAACAAACCCAAAUCAUCUAAGAUCUAUACAUAUCUAAGAGGUUUAGAAAAGAAAUUAGGGUUUCGAAGAGAACAAUAUGGAGGUGAAGAAACAUGCUUUGAAAACCAUAUAUCGUAGUCAAUAUAGGACGAUCUUACUCAGAAUCACACUGCAAUGGCCUGAAACAAGCGAGAGAGGAACCAUAGAUGCAAGCCAACUAGCCCUAGUCCCUUGAGGGCCCUGGAGAUGGCAAGAUUAACGUGAGGGAGGCCAUUGGAGGCCUGUGAGGUGGUGGGAAGUCAUCGGAGAUGGCCAUGGACGAGGGUCAGUGAGGUUUGAUUAGGGUUAGGUUGAGAGCUUUUGAGAGAUGAGAGGAAUAGAUGACGGCGGUGAGAAGAGGGAAAUGAUUAGGGUUUGAGGGGUGGGGUAUAGGUUAGUUUAUUUUAGGAAGGGUCGUUUGUGGACGUUGAUCUCUAUGAUCAACGACCGAGAUUAAAGGGUUUUGGGGGGGGGGGGGCAGAUCGGGUAGCUGGGUUUGGGCUGGGUAAUUUAAUUAGGGAUUGGGCUAGUAAUUGGGUUAGAUUGGGGCUGAAAUUGAAAAUAAAAAUAGGCUAGAUUUUAAAUAGCCACUUUCAACAACUAUAUAAUUUAUAAAAAUAAUAAAUAAUUUCUAAAAAAUAUUUUUGUGCACUUAAAUAAUUUAAAAUAGUUGUUUAACAUUUUAAAAAUAUUGAAGAUAAUUUUAUGCAUCGAUAAUGUAAUUAUGCAUUAGUAGGCUAUUAUUGCAAAGAUAUGCAAUUUAGCCUAAAAAUGUAAAUGCAAUUAUAAAAAAUGCAAUAAAAUAUUUAAACAAUAUUUUGGCAUAAAUAAAGAAUUUAUAUGACUAAAUCACUACAAAAUUAAUUUGAAGGAUAAUUUUUGGAAACUUUAUAAAUAAAAAGGAAAGAAAUAAAUCAAUUUGGAGCUUUUAAAAAUUAUAGAAAAUGCUCAUGCAUGCUUAUAACUGCAUAUGUGCUAUUUUAAAAGUAUAUACAUGUAUUAAAAAUAUAUGAGAAAAAAUUGGGUAUCAACAGUUGUAGGGUCCAUUCUUUAAAUCGAUGUAGAGACACUUGCAAUUUUUUCAAGUAUCUCUCCAUUCGAUCUUCUCGAACCUCGAAAAUUCUGUUGACUUUAUUUACCAUAAGUUGGGAGUCGCACUUGGCCUCGAUGGACUCACUCCCAAGAUCUUAAAUAACUCGAGACCUUCAAUCAUGGCCUCGUGCUCAGCCUCAUUGUUAGUUAAUUUCACAGUUUUAAUAGACUAUCUAAUCGUAUUACCUGUAGGUGGCUUCAAAAGGAUGCCUAGCCCGAACCCCUUCAUGUUCGAAGCGCCAUCCGUGAAGAGGGUCCACCCCCGAUGAUGUACCCGAUUUUAAUAAUAGUUCCUUUUCGACCUCGGGUACGUGGGCUGGCGUGAAAUCGGCCACAAAGUUUGCCAAGAUUUGAGACUUGAUGGUCAUUCGGGGUUGAUACUCGAUAUCGUACCUAUUGAUCUCGACGGCCUAUUUAGCCAAUCGACCGAAGAGUUUGGGCUUGUGCUAAUGUUGCGAAGGAGGUAGGUGGUUACAACACAAAUUGGGUGACAUUGAAAAUAUGGUUUUAAUUUCUAGAGGUGCUUAUUAAAGCAAGCGCUAAUUUUUCUAAGUGUGGGUACCGAGUAUUGACUUCUCCUAAGGUCCGACUGGCAUAAUAGACAGGAAAUUGUAUGCCUUGCUCUUCUCGAACUAAGACCCCACUUACCGCUAUCUCUGAGACAGCUAAGUACAAGUAAAGUUGCUCGUCCGCCUUUGGCAUGUGAAGCAAUGGCGGGCUCGACAGGUAUCGUUUGAGUUCCUCCAAACCUAUUGACAUUCUGGGGUCCAUGAGAAAUUGCUCUUUUUCUUAAGCAUUGAGAAAAACCAGUGGCUCCUAUCUGAGGACAUCGAAAUAAAUCGACCCAGGGCAGUUAUACGUACUGUUAACCUUUGUACAGCCUUGACAUUGUCAACAACUGUGAUGUCUUCGAUUGCCUUGAUUUUAUCGGGGUUGAUUUUGAUCCCCCGAUUUGAUACCAUAAAGCCGAGGAACUUGCCCGAGCUGACCCCAAAUGCACAUUUCUUCGGGUUAAGCUUCAUGUUAUAUUUUCUCAGUAUGUCGAAGGUCUCCUGCAAAUAUUUCAAAUGGUCCUAUGCUCGCAGGGACUUAACUAGCAUAUCAUAAAUAUAAACCUCCACUGAUUUACCUAUUUGUUCUUCGAACACUCGAUUUACUAGGCGUUGAUAAGUAGUAACAACAUUUUUAGUCCAAACGGUAAUAUAUUAUAGCAAUAGGUGCCGUACUUAGUGAUGAACGAAGUCUUUUCCUGAUCUUCUAGGUUUAUCUAUAUUUUAUUGUACCCGGAGUAGGCAUCGAGAAAACUAAGGAUCUCUUGCCCAGUCGUGGCAUCGAUCAUGCGAUCGAUAUUCGGUAAAGGAAAUGAAUUUUUAGGGCGCUUUGUUUAAAUCUUUAUAGUCUACGCACAUUCUAAGUUUGUUUCCCUUUUUAGGGACUACAACUACAUUUGCUAACCAUUCAGGAUAUUUUACCUCCCUGAUGGAUCCUAUAUUGAGAAGUUUCAUUACCUCGUCCUUAAUGAAUGCAUGUUUUACCUCGGGCUGAGGUCUUCUCUUUGUUUCAUCGGGCGGAAUUUCGGGUCCAAGCUCAGUCGAUGCGUAGUGAUCUCCGGUGGGAUCCCUGUCAUAUCUAAGUAGGACCAAGAAAAAUAAUCCAUGUUAUUUGAAAGCAAUUGAAGGAGUUUUUUCUUGAGCUCGGGAGUUAACCCUGUGCCCAUGUAUACCUUUCGAUUGGGCAGAUGCUCGAUUAGUAUGACUUGUUCAAGCUCUUUAACCUUUGACUUUGUUGCAUCGGAAUUAUUGGGGGUUAUGAAGGUUUGAGGUACCAUAUAUUCAUUAUCCUCGAAAGUUUCCUGCUCCUCUGAUUGGGUCGAGGCCGGCGACUGUGAUUGCUAUUUGACUUAUUGUUUUCCCUUCGAUUCCAAUCUCUUUGUUGAUCACAACGCCAAUACUGGUGUUACUCAUCGAUUGCAAAUAUUUCCUUGGUGGCGGGUUGUUCACUGUACACCGUUUUGAUUCCUUUUGAUUUUGGGAAUUUCAAGGCUUGGUGAAGCGUCGAGGGCACUACUCUCAUAUUAUAAAUCCAAGGCCUUUCGAGCACCAGGUUGUGCCUCAUGUCGCCUUCGAUCACAUGGAAUUUUGUUUCCUGGAUAGUCCCGUCCACGUUUAAUGGAAGAAUGAUUUCCUCUUUGGUGAUUUCACUUGCCAUGUUGAAGCCGUUAAGUACCCGAGCUACGGGCAUGAUCUGAUCUUGAAGGCCGAGUUGCUCUAUUACCCUUGAUCGAAUAAUAUUUGCCAAGCUACCCGGAUCAAUCAAUAAAUGUUUAAAUUGAAUUUUAUUCAUAAGGAUAGGUAUUGCUAGCGCGUCAUUAUGAGGUUGUUCGAUCCCUUCUGCGUCCUUAUCGUUGAAAGACAAGGUUUCUUCUGGUAAGUAGUCCAGAGUUCACUUUUCCCUCGUGAUUGUCACUUUGGUGCAUUUGAAUACCGGUCUUUGAGGGAUAUCGACCCCACCGACGAUCAUAUGAAUUACGUGUUGUGUCUCUUCCUACUCGUUCUGCCUGUUCGAAUCUCUAUUUUUGAAGUGGUUCUUAGCCCGAUCACUUAAGAAUUCUUGAAGGUGACCCUCGUUGAAUAGACAGGCUACCUCCUCCCUUAACUGUCUGUAGCCUUUGAUUCUAUGACCAUGGGUACCAUGGUAUUUGUACAUUUGAUUAGGGUUCCUUUGAGCUGGAUCGGUCUGUAAGGGUCUGGGCCAUCUAGUAUCCUUAAUCCAACCAAUGGCUGAUACAACACCUGAUGCAUCGAUGCUGAAGUUGUAUUCUGACAGUCGAGGUGCCUCUUUGGUCCCGGUAUCCCUAUCAAAACUACUUUUGCUUCUAAGCCCUCGGGAACUCUGUCCUCGAUCAUUCCUUCUAUCAUUCCAUAUGGGGUUGUGUCCAGGCCUGUUAUUUCUCUGAUCUCCACUAUAUGGAUGGUAUCUAUCUCUAUUCGGUCGUGGUUCCAUAUCAACGUCCCUUUUAACUUUGUCCACGGGCCUGUUGGGAUAAAUCGUACCAAUUGGAGUUCCCAGUUGGUCAUCUUCGACCCUAAUCUUCGGCUGGUACCAAUUGUGUACAUCAGCCCAAGUGACAACUAGAUAUUCGAUCAAAUUUUGCUUCAACUGUUGUGAAGUUAUGGAGAUCCGAGUGUUGAGACCUUGUGUAAAAGCUUGAAGAGCCCAGUCGUUGGUGACAGGAGGCAAAUCCAUUCUCUCUGCUUGGAAUCGAGAUACGAAUUCCUUGAGCAUCUCGUUAUCCUUCUGUCUUACCUUGAAGAGGUUCGACUUCCUUGUUGCAACUUUAAUGGCUCCGACGUGGGCCUUCAUAAAAGAAUCUGCGAGCAUGGCAAACAAAUUUAUAGAGAUGGGUAACAAGUUAUGAUACCAUAUCAUGGCACCCUUCGGUAAAGUUUCUCCAAAUUUCUUCAAUAGAACGGUUCAAUCUUAUUUUCUUCUAAGUCAUCACCCUUAUUGUGCAUGUGUAAGAAGUGACAUGCUCAUUAGGGUCGGUGGUCCUAUUAUAUUUGGGGAUUUCCGGCAUAUGAAGUUUCUUAGGAAUGGGCUUCAGAGUUGCACUUGUAGGGAAAAGCUUCUGCAUGAACUUCUUCGAAUCCAAACCCUUUAGAAUCGGGGGUGCCCCCGGUAUUUGAUCAACCAGUGAGUUGUACGUUUCUACCUUUUUGUCAUUAGUCUCGAUUUCAUUUCACUUGAUUCAAUCCGCUUAGUGAGCUCCUCAAGCAUCUUCGUAAUGGCGGGAUCAGUCCCCGAUUCAUUGGCGUCGAUUUCUCCGGUACAGGUUCGAUUCUAUGAACAACUUCUUGUGAUGUUUCGAGCUCAAUUCUGCUUAGUGCUCGAUUUUGAUUUUGGAGUUGUGUUAUUGCAGCUUGUUAAGUCUGCAACAUUUCGAAUAUCAUUCAAAGGCUAAUUUUGCCUUCUCCACCGUUCUGUGCGUUCUGAUCGGUUGCUCGAGAAUCUCUCCAGACACUAUUUCCAGGGUUGACGCCUAGAUUUGCAUCUAGGGCGACGUGCAAAUUGACAUCGAUGGGGUCUACGAUUGGUACUCCCUCGUGGGAAGCUUGAGGCACUUCGAUCCCUGGGGCAGCUACAUUAUUGUUUUCUCCAUGGAAACCGAGGCCGUCAUCGGCGUGAGUGGUUACUGCUUGCGAGUUAGACAUGUUGAUCCUAAAAUAAAAAAUAUUCACGAGAACAAGCGUAAUGUAGUGUGUGUUAGGAGAAUUAAUAUCAGACAAUCACUAUUAUCCUUAGCCCCACGGAGGGUGCCAAACUGUUUACCCUUAAAAUUGGAUAAAUGUGAUUUUAAGGAUACGUGAUUUUACCUAAUACCAAUUGUAAAUGUAAAGAGUAAUAAUAGAAAUUCACAAUAAUAUAAAGCAAACCAGUGUUUGAACUAAAUUCAGCCAUUGAGUUUGAAUACCCUCGAACCGAUUUGUGCAAGAAAAUAUAACAAGCUGAUGAACAAGAAUAUGAACUAAAGAAUAGGUGUUGUAUUGCUUUGAUAUCUCAGAAUGUAAGAUGGUUACAAAAUGAUUAGGACCAUCUUUAUAUAGUAGAGGAUUCCUAUCUAUGGUACAAUUCUAAUUAUGGAAGUAAAUCUCAUGAUUAGAUAAACAAAUGCCCUUGAUUUGAUAUGUUUCGAGAUUUACGCCACGAUCUCCGACCAGUCACGGAUAUCUCGCAUUUCGGUUAUUGCGCUUUGCUCGAUGUCUGUCUCAUUUGGUCUCAAUCGCUACCGGCCUCGAUUUCGAGAAGUACCUUGGUCCUCGAACUCGAUAUCUUAUCCUCGUACUUUGGUCUGAUCCACUUGGGGGCUGACCUUUGAUGAAAUUCCCUGGUCUCGAUCAAAUAGUAAAAUCGGGUAGGACCGGUUUUAACCGCAUACAUGGCCCUUUUUCCCUCACAACAUUAUUUACACUAUUAUGACAUUUAAAUGUACUUGUAUGUAUAACUCAUAAUCAGUAAAUACAAUAAGUUAGAAAAUAAGACAAAUAAUUUUUCUUUUGGUAAAUAGAAAUAAUCUUUCUUAUUAGGCUAAUUGUGCUAAAUAUAUUUAUAGUAUGAUAUUUUCAUAAAUUAAACCAAAUAAAAAUUGUGGGGACCAUAAAUUGCCACAAUGCCACCUAAUCUUAACCUUCAUUUAUAAUUCUUCCGACAAUGGUUGAAACUUGAAAGUCGCACCCUUUAAGGAUCAUUCCCGUCAGGGGUGUCAAUGGUUCGGUUCGAUCGGUUAUUUUAUAAAAUUUGUACCAUAUCAAUUUUUCGGUUAUUCUAUUAUAUAUAAUCAAAAUUAGACUUUUCGAAAUCGUUCCAAUCAUGUCGGUUUCUCUUCGGUAUCGGUACGGUUCAGUUAAUUUUCGGUAUUUUUUUAAUAUCAUAUAAAAAUCACCAGUAGAAGUAGAAUUGCAAUAACAUAUGUUCUUUUAUAGGACUUAACAAAAUUCUCUAGACAUUUUUACUGUUUAAAGGGUGCUGAAUUAAAAAUAAAAAGAUGGCUAGAGUAUAGAUCCAUCAACUAUUCUACAACAACGUAAAAGAAAUCAAACAAAGGUAAAGAAAAUAUUAAUCACACGAGUUGAAAGAUAUACCAAGCUGGGACUCAAGAAUAAAGUCAAUCGAAGAUUAAAUAUUCAAAAAAAUAAAUCUAAAUUAUAUGAAAGGAAACAUAUUUAAUAAAUUGUAGUUUGCUACUCAUAAUCGCUAGAAUACUUUGUGUCUUGCUAAUAAAGAUACUUGAAAUAACUUAGUUUAAGUAGAAGUAGCAUAAUAUGUUUUAGGAAUUAGUAUUUUGAGUUUAAUUACUUGUUGGCUUGUAAUAGUUUUCAUAAUUCCAAUGCUCAAAGAAAAUUUAAUGCAUUAUUAUUUUUUAAACUUACUAAAUAAAUAUAAUUUUACAUGUAAAAUUUAUUCGGUACGGUUCGGUAUAUUUUUUUUAUAUAAAAUAAAAAACCUACCAUAAUUAUCGGUGCGGUUAUAUAUUUAUAUAAAAAGCUACGGUUUCUUAAAAAGAAACCUAAAAAUUGGUUAGGUGCGGUACCGUUCGGUCCGGUUUAGUCGGUUUUCCAAUAUGUGACACCCUAAUUCCCGUCUCCCGAAAUACCAUUUAGUCCUAUCCGAAAAAAUCUCAAAUUAUUAUCUGAACAAUUUUCUAUACAUUAGGGCUUAUUCAAGAACCAGUUCUUGAUCCAUCAACUAAAAUGGUAGAAUUAAAGUUUCUUGGUAUGGACUUUGGUUGUGCACUUGGAUCCCUUAGCAAAGGUGAAUUCCCAGAAACAGAUUGUUUGCUUCCUUUAAUAUCCAAGCUAUUGGGAUAUGCCAUUGUUGCUGCCUCCACUACUGUUAAACUUCCUCAGGUAAUUUCCGGUUAAGCCCCUUAAAAAUCCAGUCUUUAUGUAUUUAUUGUGACGGUAUUAUUGAAUUAGCUCAAUUCUUGAUCCAGAUGAGUAAUGGGUGUUUCUUAAAUACUCUGAGUUAUAGUCCUUUGGUUAAACUAACUUAGGUUAUUUCCCUUAAGCCCCUUAAAAAAUCCAGUCAGUAUGUAUUGUUGAGUCUUCAUGUGACAGUAUUAUUGAACUAGCUCAAUGCUGCUUAGUUGGUAUAUCUUGAAUAGGCUGGGUUGAUAACCAAAUAUAUGAACUUUUACAGCCUUGAUAUAACCUGUUGGAUAAACUUCCACAGGUAAUUUACCUUAAGCCCUUCAAAAAUCUAGUAUUUUUUUAAUUAUUGACUCCUAUUGUGAUAGCAGUAUUGAAUGGAGUUAAUUUUGGAUCCAGUUAAGUUAUGGGUGUUUCUUGAAUACUCAGAGUUUACAACCAGUAUAUAUAAAUUUUUGCUACCAUGUAUGAGCUGGUCGUUCUGUUUAAUUCUGCCUGAUAAGAUGCCCGUUCAUCAUAAAUCAAUCAAUCAACUACACCUGGAUCCACAAAAUAAAUAGGGAGGCUUUACUUGUGGUUUCCGAGCCAACUUGCCUGCACCUUGGCUAUUCCACGGGGUAGGUGCUACCUUCCACCAACAUAGGUACUAGGCAAACUCUACUCACUUAGGUUCUGUAUCUGCUGGGAUUUGAACCUUGGUCUUUGUGGUUUUCACCCACUUCAUUGACCACUUGGCCAUACCCUUUGGUGCAUUAAUAGGGUGGCUUUAUGAAUCUUCUGUAUCUUUCACUCUCUUUAAGUUCAUUUCAUUCCAUUACUAAAUAAUUUGUUUCUAGAAUUGAAGGUUCCAUGAACCCCACAUGUAUCCUUACCUGCCUAUUCCUCAUGUCGCUAAAAGGAUUUCUUGGCAGCCUCUUUUACAUUUCGUAGAAGUUUGAUGAUUCAUUAAUUGCUGUCUUUUUGUGAAUAUCUAUUGUUCUUUUCUUUUCUCAUUUUGGUACUUUGGGCGGAUGUUCGGUAAGAGAAGUUGCUUAGGUUGUCAGUGGUUAUCUUAAUUUGUUAGUUCAUUGGCUAUAGUGACGUUGUUUCGAGUCUUUUUAUUUUGAUUAGAGACUUGUAUGUUUGUGUAUAUAAGUGUAAGUUUUAGAGACUUUCUAGGUUUUGGAUGACUCAUAAUUCACCUUAGAAGACAGCAUUGGAAUAUUAAUUAUGACCUGAAUAAUAAUUAUCUAUUUGAUUGAUUUAUUCGCUAUUGUGAUGGUAUCCAUUAGGAGGGCAUUUAGUUGAGCAUUCAGUUUCUUUCCCUUAAAUUCUGGCUGAUGAUUUCACAGAACACAUGUGAUUCACUGAUUCACUAAGUGUGUGGUUUAUGGUUUCUGUUCCUUGUGCAGAUACUUAAAAUUUUGCAACACAAAAGUGUUAGAGGACUUAGCGUUGUGGCCUUUGAACUUGAACUAAUUGGUUAUACCAUUGCUUUGGCAUAUUGUCUUCACAAAGGGCUUCCAUUUUCAGCUUUUGGCGAGUAUGCUUUUCUUUUGAUCCAAGGUACAUUUGACAUGCCAAUAAUACAUUGAUUUGAUUCUUUAGUUCCUUUGGCCAUAUCUUGAGAAACUAGGGGCAUUGCAGCUUCUCAAAUCUGCAUUUUGUGUGGGUGGUUGUUUGAAAUGAUUAGACAUCGCUUUCUCUUCUUCAACUUCUUCGAGCAGAUGGUGCAUUACCUUCAAGAAGCUCUGCAAGAGCCUUUAAUCAAUGCUUCUUACCGCAAUUUCUCAUUCUCGUGUUUUCCUUUCAUAAAAAAUCCAGUUAAAGAGUCUAGGGAAAGGGAGCGGACAAAAAUUGGGUGUCAGCUUUCAGGACAUUCACGGCAGAUUGUUUUCUAUGCUAUUGUGAUUAGUGAUUCCUUUGCGGGUGGAGAGCUUUAGCUUCAGUCAUGGCAGUUUAAAAUCUCAUUUUCAUACUUUCAGAUGGCUGGAUCAAUAGUUUUAAUAUCUAUUGUUUUUUUUCCUUUUUGCAGCUAUAAUUUUGGUUGCAGUUAUCUACUAUUUUUCUCAACCUUUGGGAAUGAAGACAUGGAUGAAACCAUUACUGUAUCCUAAUUCCAGCCUGCUCCACCUUUUGGUUUCAUGAUAGACAUUCCCAUUUACAUGCAUAUAAGCCAUUUAUUUUAGACCACUUAUGUUCCAUGGAAUUAGAAUCUGCAGUUCCUCCUGAUCUAGUAAACAGAUAUUGUGCUGUUGCACCGACUAUUUUGGCAGGUCAAAUUGAUCCCGUUCUUUUCGAGGCUCUAUAUGUAAGUGAUAGCCUUUAUCUUUGGUCUGUUUUCCUAGUUCUAUUUGUUUUCUGGGAUAAAACAUUCCAAAAGAUUUACGUUUCUCUUCAUUAACGGGGUCCAAAUGAACACUUUACCUUUGCUCAUUUUUGUCUGAAAAGUAUGAGAAAUAAGAGAAAACAUUUGGGAGAAUGCGUGACAAGUCUCUUAUGCCUAGAAGUUCUUAUGGAUGAUUUAUGCAAUAUACAUAGUACUUCGGAUGUGGGAUAAUAUAUAUGAUGCAACUUUAUAACAUUCUAACACUCUUUCUUAAACUCAAGGUGGUUAAGUCACCUUGAGUUCGCAAAACUUGAACUGCUGGUUAGUUGCAGCACUCAUACUGCAACUGUUGCUGGAAUAGUUGCUGAACAGAAAUAGUUUUGGAACAGCGACUGAAUAGUCUCUGGAAUAUUAAUAGAAUAGUGCUGGAACAAUCACCGAAAAGAGGCACAACUCAAUUGGAACAGUCGCUGGAAAAGAUACAGUGAAGGAAAAAUCACCGGAAAAUCUACAAGAAAAGGUGCAGUAGUGGUCACUGUAAAGAAACCAGAAAACUGAAAUUAGGAAAGAGAGAAACUUUUAGAGGCUUGAUACCAUGUGGGAAAUAGGGCAGAGAUUGGAAGGAUGCGUUAAGUAUGUGUUUUAUGCGUAAGAGUUUUUAUAAAUGGUAUAUACAAUAAGCAUGAGAAUUUCUUCCGAUGUUGGAAAGCAUAUCUAAUCUGACAGGCUAACUAAACUUAAUUAUUUCAGGCUUCCCAACAUGCAAUCUUUCUCUUUGCAAGGAUUCCGCAGAUAUGGAAGAACUUUCAGGUACAGAUUUAUGCCAUGAUGGUUCCCAUUUUCAUGAAGCUGUCUUUUAUAUGUUAAGAGUAACUGGUUUAUUGGCUAAGUUCUGAAAUAAUGAGUUCAUUGACCUAUUAUGUUGGUUGUUAACUACUAAAUGUAUUCUAGCGUCAACUGCUCGUUAAAUGGUAUAUUUAUGACUUGUCAUGCAUAUGUCUGUGUCACACACCUUGUUUCUGUUAAUUUACUUGAAACUUGACUUUAUGCCAAAGCAAGUCGUGUUUAUUGUGGAUCGACUGGGAAAUGUAAUUACCCUAUGUACCUCGACAAUCUUUGAAAACUUUCUGGUAUAUGCUGUGGAAAUGAUGCCAAUGGUAUGACCGAUUGAAAAGAAAGAAAGCACUGGUGGCUCUAAAGCAGACUAGUAUACGUUUGAUCAUAUUUGGGUAAAAUCUGAAAUCACACAUGAAGUAGAUGAAUGUGGUGACCUGAAUAGUUUUUCCUGACUGAAUUCUUAUGAUCAUUCAUCGAAUGAUUAGCAACCACUCGUUACCAUAUCUGCAGUCCCCAUUUAUUUGAUUUGCUUUCAGAGAUCUUUUUGUGGCUUCAUCUAUAAUAAUAAUGUUCUCUGGAUUUCCUGGUUGUCACUUUAUUUACGCUUUUCUUUUUGUUGCCUUGAUUUGAGCAGAACAGAAGUACUGGCGAGCUGAGCUUUUUGACCUUUUUUAUGAACUUUGCCGGUUCCAUGGGUAAGUUAACUCUGACUGCGAACUUUUGCAUGCCGAUUCUCUGUUACUGAAAUGAAGUUCUCAUCUCCUUUACCUUUUAUUAUGCAGUUAGAGUUUUUACCAGCCUCCAGGAAAAAGCUCCCAUGAGCGGUAUCCUUUCUUACUCAGUUUGAUCUGUACCUCUAUAUUAUUUUGCAAACUGCUCCUGGAAUAUGGAAGCAUUAGUAUCUUAUUUUAUUUUGAACGUAUAAGCUGAUGCAUUCUUUGUUAUAUUCUAGUUUUGUCAAAUGUGCAUAACUAUGAUUAGAAUUCUUACUGGUAUCAUGGGAUUUACAGUACCCACUGUGCGAAUGCUAGCCAAUUUUCUCACCAUUAUCUGCGGCUCUAGUCAAACAGACUCAGCUUGUCCACUCAAAGUAUGUUUAAGAUGUUUUUAGGAUGAAAAAGAAAAUGAAAAAUAGAAAGAAAUUUGAAGUCUUUACAAAUGAAUUUACAGAAUGAUAUUCUCGAGAUCAAUACGUUCCCUUGAUAGUACCCUCUUACAGAUAUAUAGCUCAUAUACUCCAUCCUAGGGCUUACAAGUUGCAACGAAUCCUUUCACCAUCUGGGAUGUCAAUUUACCUACUAAAUAGCUACCAUACCUACCUUGGACCCCAUCGCUAUUGUUUCGGCUAUUCUAUUAUUGUACCAUUGGUCAUUUUGUUAACUAGGAAAAAAAAGGGCGGUCCGGUGCACUAAGCUCCCGCUAUGUGCGGGGCCCAGGGAAGGGCCAGACCACAAGGGUCUAUUGUUCGCAGCCUCACCCUACAUUUUUGCAAGAGGCUAUUUUCACGGUUCGAACCUGUAACCUCCGGGUCACAUGGCAGCAAUUUUACCAGUUAUGCCAAGGCUCCCCUUUAUUUUGUUAACUAGGACUAUUUGUAAAUUAUUUUCAUAUUUAAUAGUACGUCUGAACAUUUGAGAUUCCUGAACAAUAUUCUCAAGGAAAGAUUUCCACAUCAGAAAGGAUGUCUAGAGUUUUUAAUUCAGUAUGAAGUGUCCUGAGUGCCACAACUUUGUAUCUAUCAUCUGACAUAUAUUCAGCUUUACGUUUAUUCUUGUAUGAUCUUUGUAAUUUGAUCAAUCCCGCCCUUUUAACUCUCCAAGUCUCCUUAAUUUGUUUGCAGUUGCCUUGGGAUCUGCACUUGGUGUACUGAUGAAUGGUACCAUCUUGAGUCAAAUUAUCAUAUAUCAAAAGCCGACGCCUCAGAAAGAGAAAAAGAGAGAUUAGAAUGGAUUUGGAGCUCACCGUCAAGAUUGUCAAGCAUGAAGAAGAGUUCAUCCAUGUAAUACUCUGAGAAUCUGUCAUGGUUUCGCUUAUUUCAAAUUUUAGAUUGAUCGAUCAGUUACAGGAUUUUUAACAUAAGUCUCAGUAUGGGAUUUUUUACAUAAGUAUGCUAACACAUAGGUGUAACAAUUGCUUUUUGUUCCAUUCCUGAUGGUGCUUGCAAGGAAUUUGGUAAAGAUGUGUUACUGGGGAAAGUAUUGUCAUUUGUCAACUAAUCUGUUGCUGCUUUAUGCAACUGGAAAAGAUUGACAAAAUGUAAACCGAAAAUAAUUUGCAAAAAUGCUGCUAGUACCUUACCGUCUGUUGUUUUUACCAAAGCCAAGUGAUAGAAAAAACUUUUGGGAAUGAUAAUAGUGUUCCUUGUCAUGGGAUGGGAAAGGACACAUGUCUCUGUUGACGCAUCAUGAGAAGUACCAACUAAACUCCCCUGUUUGGCUUAGUUGAUGUGUGUGGUAAAUAAGUAUUGGUAAGCACUUUUUUCUGAUAAGAUAAAUGAAAUAUCCCUAAACCUGUUAAAUCUAUAAAGGAGCUGAUUACCAUAAGAUUUUAAAUUCUAAAUUAAUUCACAUACAAAAUUAUUUAUAUUUGAAUUUAAACCGAUUAGCUAAGAUAAUAUGUAUUUCAUAAAUUUACUCUCAGAAGAUUUGGCAAUCCCACAUUCCUAACUACAAAGUUUUUUUUUAUUUAAUAAUUGUAUCACCACUUUACUUAAUCUGAUUGCUAAAUGGUACGUGCACGAUUGCUACAGCAACAAAUUACACAAAAUUUCAGUUCUAGCAAAAAAUAAAGAAGGAUAUUAAGUUUAAACGGGAGGAUUUAAAUUUAUGUUUAUGUAAUCUUAAAAGGUUGGUGCUGUAAUCAAUUUUCGAACUUAUCUCCAUAUAUGAACCAAUUAUUGUCUAGCCUUAGCUUCUGUUAAAUACCAACAACUUAACGUCUUUAUCAAGGAAGAGGAAAGAAAGAGUAGAAGAGCGCUAUGGAGAAGAAAAAAGAAGGAACCACAGCAUAAGGGUAAUGUUGGAAUUAUAAAAAUAAUAAGGGAUAGGAUAUUAGAACACUUGGUCAAACAUAGAUACGCCUUCCGUCAUUGAUUGAUUACGGAAUUUAAGAAAGUAAUGAAAGCUUUCAAGUUCUUGGUAUUAAAUUAAAGAUGUGCAUAAUAUACCAAAAUGUCAUUGAAUCAUAUGGUCUUAAAAAUGCCAUGUGUAAAGUUCAAGUUAAAAAGUUAUUCCAUUCGGUCCACAAUAAGUGACCAGUUUGCUUUUGGCACACCCAUUAAGAAAAACUAAAUUUUAGACGAAAAUAGUUAGUGUGACUAAACUACCCUUCAUUAAAUGUUGCACCUGAUAAUAAGUUAAAUCUAGGUAAUUUGGCAAUUGUUUAUGCUCCCACUUGAUUAUAUUCCAAUAUCAUAAUAUGGUUAAUUGAUGAAAAAUAGGCUCUAAUUGUGAAUUGUAUAUAUUGCAGGAUGAGGAGCAUAGGUGAUGCCUUAAACAAUUGUGAUUGGAACCAUUUUGGAGCAAGAAAAACCCCUCAGAGCUGAGUACGCUUGAAGACGAGGAACAGAAGUGAUGAAACACAGAACUGGACAUGCGCGCCCAGGUGCGUGACCGCACUACUUUUAGCGCGUCUAUGACAGAAUCUCAGCCAAUUAGCGCGGCCAGAUGCGCGGCCAGGCGCUAGUCCAAAAUUCGGGAAGAGUUAUUUUGGGGUAGAAUUUGAAAUCUGGAGGAAAACUCACUUAACCUAUAUAAAGUCAAGCUCGCCCAAGGAAGAGAGAGGAGGUUUUUCAUAGUCUAGUGCAAGAAAUAGAGAGACAAGAGGCAAGGAAGAGAUUUGACCAUCAAGUUCUUCUUUUCUUCUCUUGGUUUUNNNNNNNNNNNNNNNNNNNNNNNNNNNNNNNNNNNNNNNNNNNNNNNNNNNNNNNNNNNNNNNNNNNNNNNNNNNNNNNNNNNNNNNNNNNNNNNNNNNNNNNNNNNNNNNNNNNNNNNNNNNNNNNNNNNNNNNNNNNNNNNNNNNNNNNNNNNNNNNNNNNNNNNNNNNNNNNNNNNNNNNNNNNNNNNNNNNNNNNNNNNNNNNNNNNNNNNNNNNNNNNNNNNNNNNNNNNNNNNNNNNNNNNNNNNNNNNNNNNNNNNNNNNNNNNNNNNNNNNNNNNNNNNNNNNNNNNNNNNNNNNNNNNNNNNNNNNNNNNNNNNNNNNNNNNNNNNNNNNNNNNNNNNNNNNNNNNNNNNNNNNNNNNNNNNNNNNNNNNNNNNNNNNNNNNNNNNNNNNNNNNNNNNNNNNNNNNNNNNNNNNNNNNNNNNNNNNNNNNNNNNNNNNNNNNNNNNNNNNNNNNNNNNNNNNNNNNNNNNNNNNNNNNNNNNNNNNNNNNNNNNNNNNNNNNNNNNNNNNNNNNNNNNNNNNNNNNNNNNNNNNNNNNNNNNNNNNNNNNNNNNNNNNNNNNNNNNNNNNNNNNNNNNNNNNNNNNNNNNNNNUAAAACCCAUUGUUCUAGGGUCAUAGGUGAAACAUGAAUGUUGUUGUUUGAAGUUCAAUUUGACAAAGUUGGUUUAUCAUAUUGGGUUGUUUAUUUAAUUCUACUUUUAAUUAUUUUGCUGAGUAGUUAACAGUGAAAUACUAUCUACGAAUCUUUAGUUGAACUCGAAAGUGGGAACUUUAGAUUGCAUAUAGAAUUAAAUAGGGCAAGUUCUUGAACCCGGGCCUCGGGGAACGGAUUAGCAAUUGGGAUAGACAUAUACCUAAUUGCCUUGCUUGGUUGAAAUACGAGAAUUGUAAAUGCAUUCUUGUUAAUCUUAAUUCCAUAGACAUAUAGGCAUUGAGUUAACUUGAAUAGGCGAGUAAGAACUUGACAGAUUCUUACGAGUAACAUUAACCCUGUCAAUCAACAAUCCAGGUAAAUCGAUUAGUCAUUUUAAGCUAAGAACAUAACACGAUUGUUAACUAGCCUGUGACCCUGGAAUAUCCUCUCAUACUGUUUGUUACUCGAAAUUGUUAUUUGUUUGGUUAAUUGCUCUAGUUAGAUUAUUGCUUGGUAGUUUAGGUAGUAAAAUAAUUACAUAUCUAUUUUGUGAAAAACCUCUUGGUUAGACAAAUUAAUUGAGUUUGAAUUAGUCAACAGUUAAUCAUAAGUCUUCGUGGGAACAAUACUCUACUUACUACUCUAUUACUUGACGAUCACGUGCACUUGCGUGAGUGUUUUUGGUCGCAACAAGUUUUCGGCGCCGUUGCCGGGGACUUAGAAAUUAGCUACUUGACUGAGUUGAGCUUUUAUUAUUUAUUUAUUCAAGUUUUAAUUUUCAGUUCACUUUGUUUGUGCCAAUACAGGUUUUCUUUUCUUGAAUGCGAAGAAGUAGAAGCGCAAACAAUCUCCUUCCUCUUGAUCCUGAAAUUGAACGAACACUUCACAGAUUGAGGAGGGAGGUGGACGCUAGAACUAGAGUUGAAAGAGAGUUGGACAUCGUAGUUCAACCACAGCCAAUUGAGAUGGCAGGUAAUGAGGAACGCGCGGUGAUCGAAGCCGCAAGGCCCAGUCUGGCUAAUAUGACUCGGGCUAUUGUGAAGCCUGAUAUCACUGGGCAUUUUGAGCUAAAACAAUACAUGGUGCAGCUGAUCCAAUCCACAGGGCUAUUUGUGGGCUUACCUCAUGAAGACCCGCAGAGGCACAUUCAGAAUUUCUUGGAAAUUACGGACACUUACAAUUAUCCGAAUGUUUCCAAGGACUAUGUCAGGCUGACACUUUUCCCCUUUCAUUGAUCAGGGAAGCUAAGGAGUGGUUGAAUAAUGAGCCAGCGAAUUCAAUCCGUACUUGGGAUGAUCUGGCAAGGAAAUUCUUAAUCAAGUUUUUCCUCACUAAGAAAACAAAGAUAUUGAGGAGUCAAAUUCUUGGGUUUGAAUAACGAGCUGGCGAGACACUUCGUCAAGCAUGGGAAAGGUACAAGAAGAUGCUCAGAGACUGUCCUCAUCAUUGCCAUACAGACGAGGUAUUGUGUCACACUUUUGUAGAUGGGUUAGAUGAUGCUUCAAAGAUGAAUCUUGAUUCAGCUUGUGGGGGUAGUUGCAUGGCCAGACCGUACAGUGAAAUCCAAAUCUUGUUGAAUAAAUUCACUGCUAAUGAUAAUAACUGGCAAGGUGAUGGUGAUUCACGAAAGGCAGUUAAGCAAAAAUCAGCUGGGUUACUUGAGCUCGAUGAAGUGUCAGCCAUGAGAGCCGAUAUUGCAAAGCUGGCCAAUCAGAUGACUAGGAUAACAAUGCAGCAGCCACAGACAAUGCAACAUGUACAACAAAUGACUAUUUGCUGCGAACUCUGUGGCGAUAGUCAUAUGAGUGAUAUGUGCCCCACAAAUCCAGAAUCCAUCUAUUAUGUGGGGCAACAGAACAGAGGUCCACCGAAUCAGCAUGCACAUAUGGAAUUCUACAAUCCAAAUUGGAGGAAUCACCCCGAACUUCUCAUACGGUGGAAAUCAGCAGAAUCAGAAUCAGCACUAGACCCCAANNNNNNNNNNNNNNNNNNNNNNNNNNNNNNNNNNNNNNNNNNNNNNNNNNNNNNNNNNNNNNNNNNNNNNNNNNNNNNNNNNNNNNNNNNNNNNNNNNNNNNNNNNNNNNNNNNNNNNNNNNNNNNNNNNNNNNNNNNNNNNNNNNNNNNNNNNNNNNNNNNNNNNNNNNNGAGGCAAAUGGGACAGUUAGCAACAAAUCAAAACACUAGACCUGCAGGCGCUCUCCCCAGUGAUACAGAAAAGAACCCUCAAGUGAAUGCAGUUACACUUAGAAACGGGAGGGAGCUAGAGGAAGUGCCAAAGAAAAAGAAAGACAAGCCCAUACCUGAGGGAGAGUUGAUCCCUAAAGUGACUCACAAGCCAAAGAAUGCUGCUGAAAUUCCAGAGCCAGUGGAGGCCCCAAGGCCACUACCACCUUUCCCCCAGAGAUUGCAGAAAAAGAAUGAUGAUCGCAUGUUCACAAAAUUUCUCUCUAUGUUGAGCCAGGUUCAAUUGAAUAUCCCACUUGUUGAUGUGCUUCGUGAAAUUCCAAAGUAUGCUAAGUACAUAAAAGAUAUAGUGGCUCACAAGAGAAGAUUAACUGAAUUUGAGACAGUGGCACUUACUGAGGAGUGCACUUCAAGGGUCCAAAAUAAGCUCCCUCAAAAGCUUAAGGAUCCUGGUAGCUUCACGAUUCCUGUGCGCAUUGGUAAUAUUGAUGUGGGUCGUGCUCUUUACGAUUUGGAGGAGAGCAUAAAUCUGAUGCCCCUGUCUUUGUUCAAACAAUUGGGCCUGGGAGCUCCAAGGCCCACUACUGUGAUGUUGCAGCUGGCUGAUAGAUCGAUAGCACACCCUGAAGGGGUGAUUGAAGAUGUGUUACUACAGAUUGAGAAAUUCAUCUUCGCUGCUGAUUUCAUUAUCCUCGAUUAUGAGGCUGAUGAACUAGUUCCAAUCAUAUUGGGGUGACCUAUCUUAGCUACUGGCGAUGCAAUUAUCAAAGUGAGAGAAGGAAAGAUGAUUUUGAGGGUAGAUGACGAGGAAGCAGUUUUUAAUGUCUACAAAGCAAUCCAACUUCCCUGCCACUAUGAGGAGCUCUCAAUGAUAUCUGUUGUUGAGGGUGAUGAGCAGAUUCAUUAUCCGAGUGUAUAUCUAGACGAUUCUCUAGAGAAAUCACUUAUGUUGCUUGAUAGCCUAGGGGCUGACGAGGAGGUUGAGGAGAUGAUGCACAUCCUAGAUACAUCUUGUGCGUACAUGCAAGGGAUACACCCCUUUGAGCCUUUGAAUAGGCCAGAGGGACCUCCUCCAAAGCCGUCAAUUGAGGAAGCCCCAAAAUUGGAGAUUAAACCUCUUCCACCUCACCUGCAAUAUGCUUAUUUGGGUGACUCUGACACUUUACCCGUUAUUGUUUCUUCUGACUUGUCUAAAUUGCAGGAAGAAAAGUUGUUGAGAGUGCUACGUGAGCACAAACGAGCACUUGGGUGGACGAUGUCUGACAUUAAGGGCAUUAGCCCAGCCUUUUGCAUGCACGAAAUCCUCAUGGAGGACGGACACAAGCCCAGUGUAGAGAAACAACACCGACUCAAUCCAUCCAUGAAAGAGGUGGUAAGAAAAGAAGUGAUUAAGUGGCUUGAUGCAUGUAUUGUAUUUCCUAUCUCAAACAGUAAAUGGGUAAUCUCAAUUCAAUGUGUACCCAAUAAAGGGGGGAUGACUGUAGUAGUUAAUGAGAACAAUGAUUUAAUCCCUACAAGAACUGUCACCGGGUGGAGAAUUUGCAUUGAUUAUAGAAAAUUGAACAAUGCCACCCGGAAAGACCACUUUCCCCUCCCCUUUAUUGACCAAAUGCUUGAUAGAUUAGCUGGCCAGGAAUACUACUGCUUCUUAGAUGGUUAUUGUGGGUAUAAUCAGAUUGCUAUAGCCCCAGAGGACUAAGAGAAGACCACAUUUACGUGUCCUUAUGGCACGUAUGCGUUCAAGAGAAUGCCCUUCGGUCUUUGUAAUGCACCUGCAACUUUUCAAA
rnacentral:lncRNA from 1 species